UGGUUCGGUUUCCUGUUUUGGUUCCGGUAUAGCCUCAGGAACCGGUUCCGCUUCAGCUUUGGGGAUUGAUUCGGUUUCCAUUUCAUCGCUGGGGUUUGAUGAUUCGGUUUGGAUUUCAUCUUCAGGGUUCCUUUCAGGUUCAGGUUCAGGUUCUGCUUCAGCCUCGGGGUUUGGUUGGGAUUCGGUCUUAUCAUGACGGAAUUUAACAACAAUGCAAGUGAUGUUGUCUGCGCUGCCACGAGCGAAGGCAGUGUCGGUUAACUUGCGGGCAGCUGUCACAGGCUCCUCCUCACUCUGAGUAAGGGAUACCGCAUCCUGAAUCCAAAGCGGAGAAUAUAACACAUUCAAAACUCGUCAACAAUCCAACAACAGGUACAGGGAGGAGUUUAUAUGUGAGUCAUACCUCAUUUGGUACCACAUCCCAUAAACCGUCGCUUGCGAGAACAAGAAACUCGGCCUCGUGAUCAAUCUCUAGAUCCUGAAUAAAUAAACAUAGACAAGUGUGUUCACAAAAACUCAACACUCAAGGAUUACACAUGGGUUGACACUACGGAGACUAGGAGAACAAACAUAACACCCUCGGGGGAUAGCAUUAUGCUGGAGUUAGAAGCGGUUACUUGAAUCUCGGGUUCAGCAAUAACGAAUUGCUUCAGCAUUCUGUUUCCAAAGGCCCGGGACAUUGCCAGGACUCCACCUACCCUCCAUGUUCCUGACAAGACAAGGCAAAUCCAGAUGAUAUUACUUCAAAACUCAGGCUGACAAAGAGAUCUAGGGGAAGAUAUUAAAAGGGCAGGCCUCAAGACUACUAGUUCAGUCCCUGACAGUGAUUGUUUAAAGCGUGAAUAACCGGAGAUAUAGAAUGCCUCCAUAAGAAAAUGGUUUGUGGGUCAGUGUUCCCUCGAACUUAGUAACAGUAUUAGACCUAAAAGCAGAGAGAAAAACCCAGCAAUGACAUUGUAUUAUUGAAAUUCGUGAAGGAAUUAUCAAGCAUUUUGAGUAGCUAGUGAUCUAACUGUAACUCAGAAUGGAAGGCUCUACAAUCUAGCUAUGUCAUGUUCAGAAGCAAGCAACCCAUUAGGGGGACACAAGAGAGAGGGAUGGUUUCUUAUAAUAUCAGAUUACCUGCCCACAUGAUAACACCACCAGCGCUUUCAAUUCGCUUUCUUUCAUCGCUUCUGUUUGGCUUAUGGUCAUCUGAUAGUGCGAUCGCUGCACAACAUAAAAAACUUAAGGCUUGUGAUCAGAAAACAACGAAGCCUUGUGACCAAUCAUAAGAUUUUAUUCAUUAUUUACUCAAGGCUAAUGUUCUCCGAGGAAUUGCAUGAUUCCAUUUCCCAAACUCAUGUUUUGACAAGCUCUCAAAUUAUGUUUAAAAUGAUAUGCCUCAUUGUUUUAGAUCAGAAUGAAAGACUGACCUUUCCCAGCUUUAGAAACUAUCGUUCGUGAGUCUCCAACAUUUGCAACAUAUAAAUGGUUCCCCACCAAGACAGCAGCAGAUGCUGUGGAGCCAUCAUCUCUGUAAGUAUCCUUUUCCGACUCAAGGAAUGCUACAUCAGUUUGUUUGUAUGUCUCACCUGCGAAAUUCAUCAAGUUAGAAGGUGAACCGAUGACCUGAGACAAGCAGUAUGAGCUCAUACUUCUGAGAAUUACAACAAAAUUUUAUGUCUAGAGAUAUGGAACGCACUUAGUGCCAGCUUGGUGUCUGUCAGAAAUUGUGGAUGAGUCAUAAGAUUGCUAAAGAGGUGUUUCUUCAGGUACUCAGCAGCACGUGAACCACCAUGACCUGUGAUGAUUAAGGCUUCAGAAAUUCGAGGAGGGCAACUUAAGAUCAAAUCAACAAUAUAUUACAUAUAUGCUUUCUGCUUCUGGGUAUACUAUGACGCAGAUUGAGAGUUCAGUGCAGACAUUAAUUUCCUAAACAGUCUAAUAGAAAACCAAGAAGCAGCAGUAAGGAUGUAUAAAUACAGACUCUAAUUAAGGCAGAUAGUAGGCAUAGCACAUACGGCAUGGCCAGUUCUAUGUAGAACGAAGAACCUAAAUUAGCAAAUGAAGCUGGACAAUGCUUCAGCUCAGCCAUUUCUACAUUGAGAUGGAUACGAUGGUGAUACGGCAAGUUGAAAAAAACCAGACUACUUUCAACACAGAUCAAAUAUCUUACACAGUUCAACGCUAACACUUAUUUUUCGAUAUACCAGAAGAAAAGAAAGGUACAAUAUAGAAACUAACCAUCAAAUAUUCCAAACAUGCAAACUGUUUGGCCUUCCAUCUUAAAGGCUUUGACAUCGUAGAAGUCUUCCAUGGUAGACCUUUUCCCUCUGAAACUACAGUACCCACAGCUCAAGCUUCCAUCAUCACUGUCAUCACACAUAACCCUUAUUAAGUACUACUAAAAAAAACAAAUAUAAAACAUUGGUCCAAAGCCACAUUGCCUACACAACAGUAACGUGAACUCACUUUUUCCAGCCACCACCAAUGUACCCGCCGUCAUCAACUUUCUCCUUCGGGAUAUCAAACAUCUCAACUCGUUUCUCUCCGGUAGAAGAAUCAACCAUCAUCAUCUUUGCUGCAGUGGUUCUAAACCCGAAACCAACACUCAACGUCUUAUUAGUAAGGUUAAGCUGAUGUCUUCCUUGAGCAAACACCCCAAUACGAGUACGACCAGCCUGAACAAUGAGACUCCUUACGAGACUGCUGCAUACCAUCAGGCAGGUCCAAUGUAGAAGCUGCGCAACAAACAAACAAACAAACAAAAAUUGAAAUAAUCUGUCAUUACACUCAUUAGUUAUAAAGUAUAUCCCCAGAGAUACGAGAUCAUCGUCAAGGUAUUAGAUAUCAGAUCCCUACCACAAAAAUCAAUCCGAAUCUAAACGAAUUCGACUAGCCAAUCAUUGAACAGUGCCGAUCCAAAUCUUAGUUCCUAAACAAUCCGAUUCAACAAAUCUGAACGAGCGACACGGAUCAAAGUAGAGGAAAACUAACAGGUACGAAAAAAACUCAAAUCAAAUCAAAUCCAAUCAACGGAUCCUCAGAGCUGUGACAAAGAAUCGAAUCAGAUCGGAGAGGACGCACCACGGAUCGGAAUCUGAGAGAUGGAAGGAACGAAUUGAUUGCACGAAUCAGCUUUUGGGAGCUUCCAUGGAAUCUGAGAGAAUCCAAGAGAGGAGGAGAUAGAUAGAUAGAUAGAUAGCACCGAACAGAAGCGGCGACGUGGCACUAGUACUCAUGCAUUUUAGAUUUUUAUUUAGUUAGUUACUAGUUUUUUUUUAAGGAUUCUUUUUUCAUUGGAUUAACCUCACUUUAUAUUAAUCAACUUUCUAAUCUAAUUCCUAACAAAUCGUCUUUUUCAUUUUAUUGUUUACAAUAAUUUUCAAAAAUCAGAAUAUCAUAAGAUAUGGAACUAAUACCUUUAAGAUGUUAGAUCUCUCUUUUGUUUUAUAAAUGAAAGAACACAAUAAUUUCAAAGAAUUAAACAUUGAAAAGAAAGUAUUUCAACUUCUAAAAUGUGUAAUAUUUGAUUUCACACUAGUGUUGUUCUUCAUGGUGAAUAUUGAGUUAUCUACCUACAUUAUAGUUUUCAUGCCCUUCUCAAAACCAUUUCUAUUUGCAUUCAAACUCGUCAUCUUGCUAGCAACUUAGCAAGCAUCCGGCACCAAAUCUGUGGGAAAGUAUUAACACAAACCCAACGCAAGUCCAUUUUUUUUUUGAUCAAACACAAGUCCAUUGUCUAAGCCCACGUAUUUGCAUCUGAUGUCUUCCAUGAGCAAACACCAUCACACUGUCAUUACACAUAACCUUUAUUCGAGAUUUUCUAGUGGUCAGAACAUAAUAGUCAGAUAAUACUACAACAUUAUUGGGUUCUUAGUCUAAUCACAUACAAAUUUAUUGAUAAGAAUUCCCAUAACGACAUGGGACCUCUUCUCCUUCUAUAAGCAUUUCCAAUGAAUUAAGAGGAAGACCAAUUAACUCUAUUGUCUUUUCCCAAACUUUGCUCGAUGUUUCUACAUUGUGAGCUUCUUCUGAAGAAUUUGUUGGUUGACAACUUUGUGAUAUGAAUGCGCAAACGGAUUUUUUAUCGGUUUUCAACUUUUCACAGUAUAUUUGAAUCUGAGAAUCUGUGGCUGAGAAAACUGAGCUUCUACAACCUUCUUGUGGUGAAUAGCUGAUAUAAGGCAAGGCAGAGUAACUCACAUCAUCAUGGUGUUUUUGUGAGUUGUGACAAGAAAGCAAUAUAACGACGAAUCACUUAAGCGCAACUUCUCUAGACAGUUAGGAAUGAUCAAUAUGUUAAUAGUAUAGAAAUAUACCUGUGUUUUGGAAUAUUAAUCUUAUGUUACCUUUUUUUGACACGAAUCUUAUGUUACCUAAAAAACAAGAAUCUGGUAGUAAUAAAUUAAGAAAUGAAUUCCUUCAUUUCAGUCCAAUAAACAAUAUAGUGUAUAUAAAAAAAGUAUAUGUCAGUUCAGUCCAAAUCCCUCUGAUUCUCGUACAUAAACAUUAGUCCCAACUAAUCAUCUCGAAAAAAAACUCUUUGAGAAAAAUCAUCCAAAACAAUGUACUCUUUCAUCGUCUGUAUUAAAACGCCUCCUUUUAAUCCGUGUCUUAGCCAUACAACUUCUCCUUAUAAGCAGUGAAUUAUCUUUAAACACGACCAAUGCGUAUGUAAACCACAAAUGCUUGGUUAGUCAAGGAAAAUACAAGCCGGGAAGUAAGUACGAGGAACUUUUAAAUACUACCAUCGGAAUCUUAUAUGUGGACAGUAGAGAUAAUAAAGGUUUCACCCUGUUCGGCGGUUCUACUUUAUCCGCUCUACUCCAGUGCCGCGGCGACUCCUAAAAACCCAAAGUGCCACGACUGCUUUGCUACUGCCCUAGCUGCGGUCAACAGCAUUGUACUCUGUGGGGGAGACGCAGUUCAAGGGUGAUACACAGUAUCGGCAAGGCAGAGGAAUGAGAAAGCAACUACAAAACAUUGUUUAUUGGAUAAUAAGAUAUAAAUAAGUGGGAGAAACAGAACAAACGGUGUGUUCUUUUUUUGGUGUGAGAAAGCACAACCAAACAGAAUAGAGCAAAAUGAAUAGACAAAAAUCUGAGGGCAGGUCAAAGCGUAGCCGUCCUUAAGGCAGACAGGCAUGUGCAAUAUGCAACACAAAACCAAAAUAAUUAAAAUUCUCACACGUUACAGGUAGCCAACAAAGCACACAAACUACUAAAUCAAUUUUAAUAUUUAUCUGUCUCUCUGCACAUGCCUCAGUUUCGACCCCAACAGCAUCUUUUUUUUCUCCCCUGGCUGACCAUUACUCACCAGCUCUCUCACCCUUGGUCUCUGGUUCGGUUUCCUGUUUUGGUUCCGGUAUAGCCUCAGGAACCGGUUCCGCUUCAGCUUUGGGGAUUGAUUCGGUUUCCAUUUCAUCGCUGGGGUUUGAUGAUUCGGUUUGGAUUUCAUCUUCAGGGUUCCUUUCAGGUUCAGGUUCAGGUUCUGCUUCAGCCUCGGGGUUUGGUUGGGAUUCGGUCUUAUCAUGACGGAAUUUAACAACAAUGCAAGUGAUGUUGUCUGCGCUGCCACGAGCGAAGGCAGUGUCGGUUAACUUGCGGGCAGCUGUCACAGGCUCCUCCUCACUCUGAGUAAGGGAUACCGCAUCCUGAAUCCAAAGCGGAGAAUAUAACACAUUCAAAACUCGUCAACAAUCCAACAACAGGUACAGGGAGGAGUUUAUAUGUGAGUCAUACCUCAUUUGGUACCACAUCCCAUAAACCGUCGCUUGCGAGAACAAGAAACUCGGCCUCGUGAUCAAUCUCUAGAUCCUGAAUAAAUAAACAUAGACAAAUAAAUGUGUUCACAAAAACUCAACACUCAAGGAUCACACAUGGGUUGAUAGUACGGAGACUAGGAGAACAAACAUAACACCCUCGGGGGAUAGCAUUAUGCUGGAGUUAGAAGCGGUUACGUGAAUCUCGGGUUCAGCAAUAACGAAUUGCUUCAGCAUUCUGUUUCCAAAGGCCCUGGACAUUGCCAGUACUCCACCUACCCUCCAUGUUCCUGACAAGGCAAAUCCAGAUGAUAUUACUUCAAAACUCAGGCUGACAAAGAGAUCUAGGGGAAGAUACUAAAAGGACAGGCCUCAAGACUACUAGUUCAGUCCCUGACAGUGAUUGUUUAAAGCGUGAAUAACCGGAGAUAUAGAAUGCCUCCAUAAGAAAAUGGUUUGUGGGUCAGUGUUCCCUCCAACUUAAUAAUAGUAUUAGACCUAAAAGCAGAGGGCAAAAACCAGCAACGACAUUGUAUUACUGAAAUUCGUGAAGGAAUUAUCACAGCAUUUUGAGUAGCUAGUGAUCUAACUGUAACUCAGAAGGGAAGACUCUACAAUUUAGCUAUGUCAUGUUCAGAAGCAAGCAACCAAUUAGGGGGGACACAAGAGAGAGGGAUGGUUUUUUUUUUAUAAUAUUAGAUUACCUGCCCACAUGAUAACACCACCAGCGCUUUCAAUUCGCUUUCUUUCGUCACUUCUAUUUGGCUUAUGGUCAUCAGAUAGUGCGAUUGCUGUAAAACAUAAAACACUAAGUUUGAGAAAGUGUUCUUGUGAAAAGAAAACAUCAAAGGCUUCUGACAAAUCAUAAGAAUUUAUUCAUUAUUUAUUCAUUUUUUUUAUAGAAGCUCUCAAAUUAUCUUUAAAACGAUAUGUCACAUUAUUUUAGAUCACAGCGAACCACUGACCUUUCCCAGCUUUAGAAACAAUUGUUCGUGAGUCUCCAACAUUUGCAACAUACAAAUGGUUCCCCACCAAGACAGCAGCAGAUGCUGUGGAUCCAUCAUCUCUGUAAGUAUCCUUUUCAGACUCGAGGAAUGCUACAUCAGUUUGUUUGUAUGUCUCACCUGCGAAAUUCAUCAAGUUAGAGGGUGAACCGAUGAGCAGUAUGAGCUCAUACUUCUGAGAAUUCCAACAAAAUAUUAUGUCCAGAGAUAUGGAACGUACUUAGAGCCAGCUUGGUGUCUGUCAAAAAUUGUGGAUGCGUCAUAAGAUUGCUAAAGAGGUGUUUUUUCAGGUACUCAGCAGCACGUGAACCACCAUGACCUGUGAUGAGUAAGGUUUCAGAAGUUAGAGGAGGGAAACUAAAGAUCAAAUCAAAGAUACAUUACAUAUAUGCUUCUGCAGCUCAGUAUAAAAUAUAAGCAGACGGAGAGGUUGACUGUACACUGCAGACAUUAAAUUCCUAAACAGCCUAAAAGAAAACCCAGAAACAGCAUAAGGAUGUACAAAUACAGACUCUAUCUAAGGCAGAUAGUAGGCAUAUUACAUACGGUAUGGCCAGUUCUAUGUAGAACGAACAACCUAUAUUAGCAAAUGAAGAGGGACAAUGCUUCAGCUGAGCCAUGUCUACAUUGCGAUGGAUACACUAGUGAUACGACAAGUUGAAAAAAAAACAGACUACUUCCAACACAGAUCAAAUAUAUUCCACAAUUCAACGCUAACACUUAUUUUUCGAUAUACCAGAAGAAAAAGAAAGGUACAAUAUAGAAACUAACCAUCAAAUAUACCAAACAUGCAAACUGUUUGGCCUUCCAUCUUAAACGCUUUGACAUCAUAGAAGUCUUCCAUGGUAGACCUUUUCCCUCUGAAACUACAGUACCCACAGCUCAAGCUUCCAUCAUCACUGUCAUCACACAUAACCCUUAUUAAGUAAUACUAAAAAAAAAACAAAUAUAAAGAGAGUAGAAAACAUUGGUCCAAAGCCACAUUAUUGCCUACACAACAGUAUGAAGCUUCAACAUAUAGUGGAAAAAUACUAACUUUUUCCAGCCACCACCAAUGUACCCGCCGUCAUCAACUUUCUCCUUGGGGAUAUCAAACAUCUCAACUCGUUUCUCUCCGGCAGAAGAAUCAACCAUCAUCAUCUUUGCUGCAGUGGUUCUAAACCCGAAACCAACACUCAACGUCUUGUUAAAAUUGUUAAGCUGAUGUCUUCCUUGAGCAAACACCCCGAUACGAGUACGACCAGCCUGAACAAUGAGACUGCUGCAUACCAUCAGGCAGGUCCAAUGUAGAAGCUUGCACAACGAACAAAAAAAAAUAUCAGAUCUCUAAACGAAUUCGAUUAGCGAAUCAUUGAACAGUGGCGAUCCAAAUCUUAGUUCCUAAACAAUCCGAUUCAACAAAUCUGAGCGAGCGAGACGGAUCAAAGUACGAAAACAAAAUCAAAUCAAAUCAAAUCAACGGAUCCUAGGAUUCUCAGAGGUGUGACAAAGAAUCGAAUCGGAUCGGAGAAGACGCACCACGGAUCGGAAUCUGAGAGAUGGAGGGAGCGAAUUGAUUGCACGAAUCAGCUUUUGGGAGCUUCCAUGGAAUCUGAGAGAAUCCAAGAGAGGAGGAGAUAGAUAGAGAGAGAGAGAGAGAGAGCACCGAACAGAAGCGGCAACGUGGCACUAGUACUCAUGCAUUUUAGAUUUUUAUUUAUUUAGUUAGUUAGUAGUUUUUUUAAGGACUAGGGAUUAACCCGGGCUACGCCCGGGAUUUUUAUUUUUUUCUAAUUUAAGUUGUUAAAUUAUUUAUAUUUAGGUUAUGAUAUAUAUUUUUUAUAAAUCUUAAGAUGCAUGUCAUAAUUAAAAUUUAUUUUAAAUUUUAACACGUUCAAUUAACAUAUUUUUACUAUUUAAAUAUUUUUUUGUAAUUUUGUUGGCUAUCUAAUUAUCAUAUUUAGCAAAACUAUCUGUUGAGUGUUGGAAUAAAUGUUUUAGAUAUUUAAUUAAACUGCAGAGUAUUUUCGGAUCGAUCACAUGCUCAACAAUCGAUCGAUCCGUAAAAAGAUGGUCGAUCUCCUUGGCCAGGUAAGUACAAUUUUAGCAAAAAUAUCUUUGAUUUUCAAAUAUUAAGUAUAUAACUAUUCUUUUGAAUAUUCUCUUUUUGAAUUGUAUUUUUUGAUUAAAUUAUUGUAUUAUAAUGUUUAUGUAAAUAUUUUUUUGUGAUGUUUGAAUUUGUUUUGUUCGUAUACUUAACCUUGAUGAUAUUGAUGUUUAACAAUUUAUUGUUUUCUGGAAAUAGAAAAUAAUGAUAUAUCAAAACGUAUCUAAUACUUGUUAAAUGAUAGUAUAAUGUAAAUUACAUCCAUUAUUUAAAAAUAACCAUUUGUUGUUUUUAUUUAAAUCAGAAAUUAUUUUUAUUUAAAAACAUUAUCCAUAUAUAAUAUAAUAGUUUAAGUUUGGAAGAUUAAUCUAUAUAUAUAAAUUAUGUGUAUGUUUUAAAAAAUAAUUUAAGAUGUUAUAUAUUGAGUAACUGAAUAAAAGCUGAAUUUCUUAUCUUGAAAAUCAAAUAAUUAUAUUUUUGUCUUCAUAUUAUACUCAUCAAUCCAUCAUUGAUAUUUAUAACUCAGUAUGUUUAAAAAAAACUUAGUUUGAAGUAAUAAAUGAAUUUAAUAAAUUAAAUUCAUCACCUAUAAUGUUCUGUAAACUAUAUUUGAAAACUCUCUACAAUUAUAUUUUAAGCAUAAUUACUAUUAUUUAAUUUAAGUUAUUUUAAGCAUAAUAUAUGCUAAAUCAACUUAAAUUAUAUUUACAAUAGGACCAUCCUAAACCGGUUAAUAAACCAAAAACAAUACUAAACCAACAUGAACUAAUACCUGAUUCGGCGAUGAAGGAAGUGUUCCGGGAUAAACGCUUGAAUGGAUAUUAACUGUAAUGGUUUGAUCAUGAAAGAGUUAGUAUGAAUAGUAACAAUAAAAUUAUGGAUUAGAUUAAUUUAAAUUUAUAAGAAUACCUUUGAGUCUAUGAAAAACAAUUCAAUUCCCAUGAAUAAGUUUGCCUUUGGAAGUUGCAGGGUUCCCAACAAUGAAUCCACCUAAUAAAAAGUUCGUUCUUAUAAAAAAUCUCCUUCAAAGUCAUUAAAAGUUUUUGGGACGGCAAAAGUUAAUGGUGGAACCAUUUUUUUGCUCGAGUGCUUUGAAGCUUUUCUUGAUAGUGUGAGGUUGAUGCUGAUGGUAUAAUGGAUUUUAUAGAGACUUUCUUGAUGUAAAACUAUACUUUUUUUUUAAAUGUGAUAUUUCCAUUUUUAUAUAAUUUAUUACCAUUUUAAGAUAGAUGUACAUUUUAAGAUAGAUGUUUAAAUCUUAAUAUACUUUUUCCAUUUUUUAAAAUGUUUAUUUCCAUUUCUUAUUUUUUUUACGUAAUAUCUAUAUUUUAUAUUUUAAAAUAGAUAUUUAAAUCUUAAUGUACUUUUUCCAUUUUUUUAAAUUGUGUAUUUCCUUAUAUUAUAUUAUUUACAUUUUAAGAUAGAUGAUUAAUGCUUAAUGAACUUUUUCCAUUUUUUAAAUUUUGUUGUGUAUUUACUUAUUAUUAUAUAUAUAAUUCAUAUAUUAUAUAUUUACAUUAUUUACUUAUUAUUUAUUUUCCUGUAUAUGUAUUUCUAUUUCUUGUACUUUUUAUUUACUUAAUAUCUCUAUUUUACAUUUUAAUAUAGAUGUUUAAAUCUUAAUGUACAUUUUUCAUUUUUUUUAAAUUGUAUAUUUUCAUUUGUUAUACUUUCUAUUUACGUAAUAUCUAUAUUUUAAAUUUUAAGAUAUAUUUUUAAAACUUAAUGUAAUUUUCCAUUUUUUAAAUUGGGUAUUUACUUAUAUUAUAUAUUUACUUAUUUUUUUAUAUUGUGUAUUUCUAUUUCUUAUACUUUCUAUUUACUAAUAAUUUUAUAUUUUAAGAUAGAUUUACAUUUUAAGAUAGAUGUUUAAAUACUAAUGUACUUUGUCCAUUUUUUAAAUUGUGUAUUUCCUUUUCUUAUACUUUCUAUUUGCGUAAUAUCUAUAUUUUACAUUUUAAGAUGGAUGCUUAAAUCUUAAUAUACUUUUUCCAUUGUUUUUAAGUUGUGUAUUUCUUUUUCUUAUACUUUCUAUUUACUUAAUAUCUAUAUUUUACAUUUUAAGAUAGAUGUUUAAUAUUUAAUAUACUCUUUCCAUUUUUUAUAAAUUGUGCAUUUACUUAUUAUUGUAUAUAUAAUUUGUAUAUUUAUAAUAUUUACUUAUUAUUUAUUUUUCUAUAUAUUGAGUAUUUCUCUUUAUUAUACUUUAUAUUUAGUUAAUUUAGUUAAUUUAUAUAUUUUAUAUUUUAAGAUAGAUGUUUAAAUCUUAAUGUAUUUUUUCAUUUUUAGUGUAAAGCGGCAAUGUUUAAUAGAAGAACUUGGACAAAUAGUCAAAUAGUUAUAUUUAUGUUUUUUUUUCUUUUUUUAUAUAAUGGUAAUGUUACAUUAUGGAGAUAAGCCGUUUUUUUAGUGAAAAUUGUAAUCUUACAUAUGUUUAAUGUAGUUUUUCUAUUUUUUUUAUGUUGAGUGUUUACAUAUUAUUGUUAUUUUUAAAUGUAAAAUGGUAAUCUUACAUAUGUUUAAUGUAGUAUUUCCAUUUUUAUGUUGUAUGUUUACAUAUUAUUUAUUAUUUUCAAAAUUAUAUAUAAUGUUUUUUUACUAAUAUUACAUUAUGGAGAUAAGCCGUCUUUUUUUAGUGAAAAAUGGUAAUCUUACAUAUGUUUAAUUAAUGUAGUUUUUCUAUUUUUUAUGUUGUAUGUUUACAUAUUAUUAUUUUUAAAUAAAAAUGUAAAAUGGUAAUCUUACAUAUGUUUAAUGUAGUAUUUCUAUUUUUUAUGUUGUAUGUUUACAUAUAUUUAUUAUUUUUGAAAUUAUAUAUAAUGUUUUUUGUUUUUUUUUAUAAAACGGUAAUGUUACAUUAUGGAGAUAAGCCGUCUUUUUUUUAAGUGAAAAAUGGUAAUCUUACAUAUGUUUAAUGUAGUUUUUCAAUUUUUUGUAUUGUAUGUUUACAUAUUAGUUAUAAUUUUCAAAAAUUUGUAAUAUUAAAAUGUAAAAUUAUAUUUUAUGCCACGUGUCAUCUUUCGAGAGAAGUUUUUUUUGCUGAUGUGGACGCUCUGUGGAGCCUCAAAAGGUCCCUUUUAUUAGUAGAGAUUAUAUUUUAUGCCACGUGUCAUCUUUCGAGAGAAGUUUUUUUUGCUGAUGUGGACGCUCUGUGGAGCCUCAAAAGGUCCCUUUUAUUAGUAGAGAUUCUUUUUUCAUUUGAUUAACCUCACUUUAUAUUAAUCAACUUUCUAAUCUAAUUGCUAACAAAUCGUCUUUUUCAUUUUAUUGUUUACAAUAAUUUUCAAAAAUCAAAAUAUCAUAAGAUAUGGAACUAAUACCUUUAAAAUGUUAGAUCUCCCUUUUCAAAAAUCAAAAUAUCAUAAGAUAUGGAACUAAUACCUUUAAAAUGUUAGAUCUCCCUUUUGUUUUAUUUAUGAUAACAUGACGUGUGCAGGUUCAAGUAGAAAGAACACAAUAAUUUUUUUGGGGUAUAAUUUCAAAGAAUUAAAACAUUGAAAAUAAAGUAUUUCAACUUCUAAAAUGUGUAAUAUUUGAUUUCACACUAGUGUUGUUCUUCAUGGUGAAUAUUGAGUUAUCUACCUACAUUAUAGUUUUUCAUGCCCUUCUCAAAACCAUUUCUAUUUGCAUUCAAGCUCGUCAUCUUGAUAGCAUCCGGCACCAAAUCUGUGGGAAAGUAUUAACACAAACCCAACGCAAGUCUUUUUUUUUUUUUUGGAUCAAACACAAGUCCAUUUUCUAAGCCCACGUAUUUGCAUCUGAUGUCUUCCAUGAGCAAACACCAUCACACUGUCAUUACACAUAACCUUUAUUCGAGAUUUUCUAGUGGUCAGAGCAUAAUAGUCAGAUAAUACUACAACAUUGGGUUCUUAGUCUAAUCACAUACAAAUUUAUUGAUAAGGAUUCCCAUAACGACAUGGGACCUCUUCUCCUUCUAUAAGCCUUUCCAAUGAAUUAAGAGGAAGACCAAUUAACUCUAUUGCCUUUUCCCAAACUUUGCUCGAAGUUUCUACAUUGUGAGUUUCUUCUGAAGAAUUUGUUGGUUGACAACUUUGUGAUAUGAAUGCGCAAACGGAUUUUUUAUCGGUUUUUAACUUUUCACAGUAUAUUUGAAUCUGAGAAUCUGUGGCUGAGAAAACUGAACUUCUACAACCUUCUUGCGGUGAAUAGCUGAUAUAAGGCAAGGCAGAGUAAAUAUCUUGAAUAAAUCUUGGAAGAUCCCUAGUCUGCAAAAGUUUAGAUGUGGAAAUGUUACUAUAUACGGAAAUAUUGCAUUACCUUUUGUAAUCGAAAGGUCACUAUUUUAUUUUUCAAAUAAUUAUAGAAAAUUACAAACACAAACGGAUUUUCUCAUUUGUGUUUGACGUUUUCUAUUAUUAGCAAAAUAAUUUUAUUUCAAUUAAUUCUGGGUUCAUUCAUAUAUAUUAAAUAUAAAAUCAAGCUAAAUACAAACGAACGAGGUUUAUUAUAGGGGUACUCUACUCACAAUGUUUGUUUGGACAACGCGUGGAGGAGGAAUUGUUAAUGAUAUCAUUGGCCGACUUAACUCUUGCUUGGACUCAUGACCUUAUGAUAAGGGUUAGUAAUUAUAAAUUUUAAAUCAUUAUCCCGUUUGCGUGUUAAAAAAAUCAUUAUCCCCUUUGAAUUAAAUGAGUUUUCAUCUACCAUCAACCUAAUUUGGGUCCAUAAAGUUGGAGUAUGAGGCUAUGGGUUAUAAAUUAUGUUGCAAAAGCGUAUAUGACUUUGUGGCCUCAACGAUAACAAUAAGCAACAUGAAGAAAGAAGCUCUAAAUACUUAUUUAUAACAGAUACAAAAUUGUUAUAAGAAACGAACCUCCCAUAGAAAACAUGCCGGCAUUGUUAAUCAGAACAUGCAAAGGGGAUAACCGUGCGUUCCACGCAUUGCUAAAUCGUAUGACGGAAUUUAAAGAGAGGAGAUCAAGUUCCAUAGCCUUGAGAAAAAAGAAAACAUUUUAUCAUAAUAAAUUAACAAUUUUGAUGCUAACAAAAUACGCUAAAGUUUAUUUUCAUUAUUAUUAAUUUCAUCAAUUAGAGAGGGAUCAUUAGUAGUUCUUGCAUUGUUUCCAACACCUAUGUAUGCGGAUCUUAACGAAAUACUGCUAAAAUAUUCUUAACUAUACUUUAACUAUUGACUACUAUGUAAUUACUCCAAGCUACAAUUGUUAUGUAUAAUUGCCAUACAAUACCAGCUUCAUCAACUAUACUAGUUUAUAUGUUUCUCACAUAGUUUCUUUUUUACACUUGUCACGCAAAUUGUAACAAAGUUGAAUAUUCUAAUGAAUCCAUAAAAAAGGAAAAUUGACUCUUAAUACUAUUGUUUUAUCUUAAUAAUUUUAGUGUGUUAAGUUAAAGAUUUUCUUAUAAAAAGAUACACGUUCAAAUUACAAAAAAAUAUAUUGUGUUCAAACAAAAAAUAACUCUAAAACGACAUUAAUUUUGGAUCCGAGACAGUGUUGUCGAUACAUACGACAGAUGUAUAUAUGAUCACAUAUAUAUACUAGAAAUGUUAUAUAGAGAAAUUAAUCAGAUUUUACCUUGUUGCACACAAAAAAAAAAUCAGAUUUUACCUGAAUAUUAAGUGGGAGUCUUUUCCCACUACAAUAGUACUUGGUCUGCCAUUGUUGAAUCAGCUCAUGAGCCGCUUUUAUGUUCCUUACCGCCAUAACAACAUGAGCACCCGCCUCUGCAAGCUGCCUGCAACCUCACCCGAUAAGUGUAAUGUAAAUCUUAUUACACUUAUUUUCUCUAGCACAGCAAAAGAAAAUAAAAAACAAUAUGAAAGUAUAAUAAAGAGAGCUUUGUUCUGAAUUUGAUACCUAGCGGUCUCAGAGCCAAUGCCACUAGUGGAGCCAGUAACAAUGCAGGUUAAGUUGUUUAAAGGAGGAAGAGGAAAUGGAUUGUGUAAGUGAGAAGCCAUGAUUCUCUGCAAAAGAAUCUCUUGCAAAACAUUAACCCAUCCUCUCAACCACACCAUCCACCCUAAACCAUCCUUCUUUGUCUUAUUUGAUGACACAAUUUCAUUACUCAUCAUCCUCUUCAUCUUCUCUACGGUGUUCACAAAAUAGAUAUAGAAAAGCAAAAGAUUAUAUAUUGAUUACUGCGUCAAAUUGUUGAAACGGGAUAAACAAUUUUGAUUCAUGAAAAGCAUGUGACAUCUCAGGCUUAGUGUGGUAUACAUAACCCGUCCUUGCCGUUACCAUAAUAAUUAGUUGGUUAUUAGUUGGCCAUUAAUUUAUCACUAUUAUCUUUAAUCUUACUACAAGAGAAUUGCCUUUCUUUAUUCUUAUAUAUUAUGUGUUUGAGAAGUUUAGUGUAGGGUUGAGCUAAUGUUACUAGUCAUUUUAACUUAAGAAUAUUAAGUACACUAGGGUCUUUGCCCGGGCUACGCCCGGGUAAAUUUCUUCUUAUAAUUUUUAAUUAAUUUUAGCUUGAUGAAGAUCUUAUUUUUUCUUAUAAUUUUUAAUUAAUUUCUUCUUAUAAUUUUAAAUUAAUUUUAGCUUGAUGAUGAUCUUAUUAAUUGUUUAUAUUGUUUGGAUGGCAUAAUAUUAUAGUUUUACUUGCUUGUAAAACGGAUGAGUAACACUCAAGUUUUCGAACUCGUACUCCAUGCAAUGUAUCUCAUUUUUGGGUUGUUAUUUUGUCCUAAUAUUUUUUAAAAAAAAAUUGGGAGGUCAAUGAUCAAAUAUUAUUAAUUUCAUGUUAUUCCACUUCAUUCUCUAAUUAUACUACGCUUUUUAAUUAAUUGUAUUUGUUUAUUUUUGUUUUUAGUUUGCUCUGUGGGAUUCUGUUUGGGUGGUGAUUUGGUUCCGUUGAGAGCAUUUAGUAAUGUGGUUCUAAUGAUAUGGCUAAUCAACAAAAGAUAGACAAAAGAUAGGAUGAUUAGUUGGCAGCGGUUAAGUAGCUGAUGCAUUACUCCAUUGUUUUGGUAUCGUCUUGAUUAAUAACUUUUGUUUUAGUCUCUAAGUUUGCACAUAUUUUGUCUGUGGUGAUGAUAUUUAGAUAUAGCAUUAAGUGUCACAUUAGAUGUUUUUUUUUGUCAAUUAUACCUUGUCAAUUAUACAUAUAUUUUGUUAACUAUGACUGAUUUUUGUGAAUAAUUUGUUUCUAUUUUUAUUAGAAAUUCUUCCAUCAUUCUUUUUUAAUCUAAGCUAAAGUUUGGUACUUAAAAAAAGAGAAACCAUUCAUAAGAUUUAUUCUUCUUUAUUUUGAUUGGCCUUGGUUUGAUGAGACUUGGAAAAAAUAAUUAAGUAAAUAAAUUAUUAUGUAUUUUAUUAAAUCAUCAUUUGUGGACAAUAAUUGAUGUCAAUAUUUUGAUUGGAUUGAAAAUAACUUAUAUUAUAGAUGCUUUGACUAAGUGACAUAAAUGAAGGUGUUACAUAGACAUUAGCCGGAAUCGGUGAGUUGUGAAGAAUUACGGCGUUUGAUUUCCCACAUUCAAUAAAGAAAAAAAAAGACUUUCAAUAAUGCAAAAAUGGAAUAAAUCCCUAGUCUCAACUGGGCUUGGUCAGAUUAAAACAAAAGCCCAAAAACUAAACGAAAAUCAUCUUCUAUGAUCCAAACGUGUGGUGGUGAUGUAGAGAGAUGAAGCAAUCUGAUUGGCCUGAAUUUUAAGUCCUACGUGGACAUGCUAAAUGGUGAGUAUAUUUAGCUUUUAGUAUAGUAUAGAUAAUAAAUUUUAUUUACUAACGUAGAACAUACAUUGACUUGAAUGCUAUCUUGUUUUUUCAUUGUCUAGGCUGCCACACGUUAGAGAUUUUUUUUGUUUAUCUAUUUUGUUUAACACGGAAUUGCAGUUCUGUAUUAUUCUUUUCUAAGUAACCUUGUUGUUAUGCAAAUGCAACCAUGUGUAUUUAAUGAUACACUAUAAUAUGUUGGUAGUUAAUGACAAUGUGAUCAGUAAGAUAGAUUGUAUUUGCAAUUAUGCAUGUAUACGUAAUGUAUGUACCUCCAAAGAACUGCUAUCACUAUAUUUAAACCCAAAAAAAAACACUAUUAUCAGGUUUCAAAAAGGGAAAAAAAACGAAGGAAAAAAAUAUAGAUUUAUUUAUCAAAAAUGAAAAUAUUACAUAAUUCACACCAAUUCUCUUAUAUGUAGAUAUAUGUGUUGUGUUACACUGGAAAGAAGAAGAGAUUUCUUAAUAAGCUAUUCUCUUGCAAUAGACUUGUGAGAAACACUUACUUUUAAUGAGUCCCAUUACGGCAUUGAACCUCUUCUCCUUCUAUAAGCAUGUCCAAUUCAUCAAGAGGAAGACCGAGUAGCUCUACUAAUCUACUAUAGAGCCUCUAUAGUCUUUUCCUAUACUCUCUCUGUUUGCUUCUUUUGAAGGCUUUGUGUGCUUUUGCAGUCUUGAGAUUUGAAUAAAUAGGCUUAUCAUCAGUGUUUAGCUUUCCACAGUGCUCUGGAUUCUGAGCAUCAUAUCACUGAGAAAAGUGAGCUUCUACAACUUUCUUGAGGCGAAAAUAUUUCACAAAUUAUACAUAUAUAUAUGGACAAUUCUUUUAACCAGAUCAUUUUCAAGUUUGGUCACAAAAAUAGAUCACAAAGAGAAAAAUGACCAAAAUAUUUUAUUUAAUAGGUAAAAUAACACUAAUAUCCUAGAUAUAAUAAUAAUAAUAAAAAAAAAUAUUUAUAGUUUUACAUUAUAUGUUUUCAAAUUUGAAGUUUUUUAUAAUUUUUUUUUUGAAUUUUUUUUUUGAAAAUACUUUUUGAAACUAUUUUUAAAAUUUUUAUUUUUAAAUUUUUAAUAUUUAUUUUUUAUUUUAUAAAAUUUUAAACUUCAAUCUCAAAUCUCCACCCAUUGACUCUAAACUCUAAGGUUUGAAUUAGUUAACCCUACGGAUAUAAAUGUAUAUUUAUUUUUUUAAUGAAACAUUAUGGUCAUUUUUCUCUUUCUGAUCUAUUUUUGUGACCAAAACUUUUUUAAUGCUAUAGUAAAGUAUUUCUCUAUAUAUAUUUGUUAUUUGUUAACAGUAACCAUUGACAAUAACUAGACUAACAUCAAUUCAGAAAUCAAAAUUGGUGAUAUGUAAUCAACAUAAUACACAGUUGAAUGAGAACUUCGAACACUUCAUAUGAAUACCUGCCAUAUGGUUUUACUCUUGUAUAUGGUAGAUUGUAAAAAAAAAUCACCAAUUAUAUUGAUGAUUAAUUGGAGAUUUUCAAAAUAAAAAUAAAAAUAUAUUUAAGAUUUUCUCAUUUGAGAGUUUGAAUAAAUUUAUUGACUUUAGAAAAACUUCUUAGUUAAUUGUUAGUAUAAUGUUUGAAAGAUUUUUCUUUAAGAAACUCUUAAUACGGAUUGACAUCUUGAUGUAAUAACCGUGUUUGGUCGGUUCGGAUCCAAACCAGAAUCAAAGAACACGACCGCAAUUGUAAAAAAAGUUUAUAUAUAAAUACACAAAAAACAAUCAAUUAAACCCUAACUUUUUCAACACGGUGAUGACGGAAGAGAUGAAACCAUCGGAGUCUCCUCGGACAUUGUCGUCGUUUUGGUCGUUACCAAACGACGUCGCUCUCAAUAUCUUAGCCCGAAUCUCGAGAAUCCAUCAUCCAUCUCUGUCUCUCGUCUCCAAGCGUUGCAAAUCAAUCCUCUCUUCGCGUGAGCUAGACGUAACACGAACCCUAAUGGACAAAACAGAGAAGCACAUCUACCUCUAUUUAAAAUUUCGUCGGCAUACUAAACCUUGCUGGUUCGCACUCACCCCAGGUCCCGACCAGAAACUGAAACAACUCCCUUCGUUUCCUUACGAACAUCAUCCAGAUUCCCCGACCGUGGUGUCAAGUGGUUCAGAGAUUUACCUCAUCGGCGGAUUAGUAAAUCAUAGAAGAAGCAGAAGAGUGUUUUUCCUCGAUUGUCGUUAUCAAAAAUGGCGUAAACUCCCUGAAAUGCGAGUGCCUCGAGGAAGUUACGCAGCCGCCGGUUUCAUUGACGGGAAACUGUACGUGUUGGGAGGUCGUGAGAGCUCGGGAGAGGUUUAUGAUCCGAAGAGUGGAACUUGGGAGCCAUAUAUGAUGAAUAUCCAAAAGGAUGUCAUGCUUGGAAACUUUGGAUACUUUGUAACCAACACUUGCUUCAUAGCUGAAGAGAAGAUAUUGUGUAGAGUAGUUAAUCACCUAGGGAGUAGUUUUUUGACUUGGUGUGAUCUUGGGGACAAGAUGGGGUGGAGACAAGUUAAGGGACUUGAAGGACUGUUUCCGGUGCCACCGGAUUUUUUAUCUGUGGCGAGUCCGGACGGAGGAAGAAGACUGACAGUUUGGUGGGUUUCUUACCAAAAGGAAGAUGAUCGUGUUCUUGUUAGUGAGAUUGAGAUUUGGUGUGCUGAGAUUUCGUUUCAGAUACGAAGCAGAGAAGAGGUUUAUGGGGUCGUGGAAUGGUCCAAGGUUUUACAUGCUAUGAACCGCAGUGAAACUGGUGGAGUCAUUUCACUUUUGUCUUCUGCUAUUGUGAAUCUGUGAUGCGUUGAUCUAGCUUAGGCAUGAGCGUUCCGUUUUUAGUCGAUUCUGUUUUUGAUUUUAAGUUCUAGAGAUUUAGAAACCAUUCGGUUAAUUUGAAAUUUUCUUUGGUUUUAGCCGCUAAUAUUUAAUAAAAAUUCGAGUUCAAUUUGGUUCUGUUUUCUCAGAUAAUUAAAAAACGGAUAAAGAUAAUUUUUUUUUAGUUUUGCCUAGUCAAACAUUUGAUGAUUUGAAUAAAAUUAAAAUGUUUUAGAUAAAAAAACAUAUAGGUAAUUUAGUUUUUUCAGAUAAUUUAAAAUAUUUUGAAUGAUAAUUUUUUUUGUUAAUUUGAUGUUUCGGCUUAUUUGGUUUAUAAGUAAUAUUGUAGAAUAUUUGCUAAUUGUAAAACUUAAUUUUAAAUUAUAUUGAAUUGCAGUUCAUUUUGACUUUUGGCUCCCAAGAUAUAUGGUCCAUCUCAAACCAUGUCAUAUAUCAUAUAUACUAACAUCGCUGCUUGGAGUAGACCUGAGAGAAGACUCAUGUAAAGUCUUUUUUUUUUUUUUGAGUAAAGACAAAUAAAGGUGUCAAUGUUAAGUAGCCUGAUCUUGUGGAGUAUUCUCCUGAUGCAUUCUUUAGCCAGACCAGCUCGUCAGGUAUCCCUAGCUUACUCGGUUUUAUUCUCAAGAUCUGUUCUUUGUGAAAAGGUAAAAUGAGUUCUAAAUUGUCAUGAUCUCACUCAGUUGUGUUUGGUAGGAAUAAGUAUGAGACUUUAAUUUGAUGGAUCGAUGUGCUUCUGGUGCUGGUCCAACUGGUCUGCAUUUUUCAUUGUGGGAGGGCCAAAGAUCAUCCCAGACGCUGAUUGAUGUGCCUGUACCCAUAACAGUAACACUACCAACGCAUAAUAAAAGUAUCUGCCUUACACUUUACAUCAACAAACUAUAUAUUCAAGAGCACAAAGUAGGUACAACAAGAGUAUAAAACAACCUUGCGUUGCUCUCCGAUGAGAUGAGCAUCCUUUAGUCCUCUGACUUCUGUUCACUUCUUGAACACCAGCUGUAUCAGACUUUCAACAAACUGAAUUCACCAACACACUACUUGAAAACCAACACCAACACCAUAAUUAUAUAUUACUAUUUGUUUUUGUAAAUAAAUUUCAGCUACAAGUUAAUCAUGAAAAAUUCAAAUUUCAUUUUGGUGGUGGUUCUUUUAUGGCUAAUAAUAUAAUGACAAGAUACAGAGAACAAAUAGUCCAAAUAGCAAAAUAACAAAAGUCAUUAUCAACCAACCCGAUGAAACUAGUAAUGUUUUUACACAAAAUCAUCCCAAAAACUCACUAUGUUCUCUACUUUUUCCCCCAAUCAAAGAAGACGACUUCACAUUUGGUAGAGCCUCUAGGGAUUUUGAGGAGCUUCUUAACCAUUUCAUCAUUUGUUGAACAAUCUUUAUGCAAAUGUAGAGUGAGUUUCUUGAGGAUUGCCGAAUUCUCGAGGAUAUACCUUACCAUGUUCAUUUCUCCAACAACGCUUGAGAGUGGGACAUUGAAAUCAACAAACUCGAGAGACGAUAGCAAACACUGAGGCACAUACGGAAUAUUGAUUUCAUCCAUAUCCUCUAACUGAAGUUCAUCGCAUUCCUGAGGCAAGAACGUAGGAUUAUUAAAAUGCAAAGAAAAAAAAAAGAUAGCAGAAUCUUCAUAGUUAAAAGGUGGAAAAAAAAAUAUUAUAGCAUAUAGCAGAUCAUCACCAAGGUGAGGGAUUUCAGGUUGGGGAAGCUCUCAAGAAUGGUCGGUAACCAUCUCAAACAUGAAUAACCCUAUAUGAUGUUUGGUGCAACAAGAAAAGAAAAAACAAUUAACGUGGGAUGUUAGAAAAAACUUUCAUGAUUGAAUAUGUACAUGUUAUAUACACAGGAAUUAACAUUGUAUAUACCAUCAAACCGACUCCAAGUAUCGUCAUAUCCCUGACCUUGGAAAUGCCAGAGAGACAAUUGCAGAAUCUUUUUCUGUUUGAUAAAAUGCUUGUUUCAUCAAAAUCCCCAAAAUAAGUUCCGAGGCGAAUAACAAAUUUGACAUUGGUAUCCAUAGUAUUGGUUAUCAUAUAGCUUCCUGAUAGGCUAGAAUCGAUGCUCAAAAAGCCUAGUCGAGGAGCAUCGAUCACAACUUCUGACAUGCAUUCUUGUACACUGAGCCUCUUCAACGACCUAGAGAUCACCCGAAAGACUUUUACGUCAUCAUUCAGAGAGCUAUCAACUUCCAACUCUUCAAGGACAGGACAUGAGGAGAUAAGUCUCUCGAAAGUGGCCUCGUUGGGAUUCAUCAUAGAUAUUAAGUGCAAAAUCCUCAGACUAGGUAAGGAAAUAAACUCUGAAUCACGCAAGAAGACACCAUCGAGUUUUAAAGAUACCAGUGUCUCGCAGACAUAAAGGCUUAGGGGCAUCCCAUGAAAAUAAGCCCUAAACCGCCUGUAACAAAAUUUAGGGAUAUGAGGACUAUCUGGAUCAGUCCGAACAUCUAGAUGUUGGAUCUUUCGCUUAACUGCUGCAUCAAUCCAUGGUGUGACGUAAGAAUUGUAAUAAUCUACACCUUUAUUCGAAUCUACACCUUUAUUUGACUCCACAUCUAACUCAACUUUGUCUAUGCUUGAAACCCUGUCGGAAUCGAAAAACCUGUCACCAAAAUUAACCAAGGCAUCUUUUUUCUGGAAGACUCGAUAAUUCAAUCCUAAACGAGGAACCCAAAGCCAGAGAGUCCUCCAUCUGGUGGACAGAACACUCGUUCUUACAGCAUCCUUUGUGGGAAGAUGAUAAAGUACUCGACAGAUCAAAGGAUCAGGCAAUUCGCUUAUCCUAUCUAGUUCAUUAUUAAGCCACACUUCCGGUUUUCUUCUUCUAGCCAUAUAUAUUUCUUUUGUUCUGAACUGUUUUGUCUGCAUAACAAAAAUUGGAAACCAAAGUUUCAAUAAGGAUGGAUUCCAAGGUUCACUAGAAGAUGAAUCAAACAAGACCACAACGAGACUAGUCAGCCUAGGGUUUAUUUCUUGUAAUAAGAAAAGUGGAUGAAAAACCGAAUGUUCGAUCAAAAGAAAUGAAAUCACUUACUCCCGUCACAAUUGGCGAAGAGAAAGGAAAGAUUCAGAUUGUCUGGGAAUUUGGAGUCUCUAGCCAGAGUAGAGUGCUUUGAUCUGAAAGAAAAAUGUUAAUUUAUGUUUUUGUUUGUUUGAAAGUUUAUGUUUUUUUAAGACACCCUCAAUGAGGGGUUUUAAGAGAGUAUUUAUAAUAAUAAUAUAAUAAAAAUUGAAAAAUAAAGAAGGUAGCAUAGAUAGAAACGUAUCAAGGUUGAGAUACUCUCCCAAAAAAUAAUCUGAGACUAAUGAACACAUGCUAUUUUUUUUGCUGAUUUGAUUUUUUUUUCUUGAUCAAAAGUUAUUUAGAUAAUAAAAUACUAAACUCUUAUUUGAGAAGAUAGUCUGAACAGGAUCUCAUAUUAAUGAUGUUCUUAGGAUAUCAUACUAUAUAUUAAAAGAUAAAUUAUUUAAAUUAUUAUAAUUUAAUUGAUUGAUGAUUUUUUGUCAUUUAUUUCAAUUAAAGAUAAGAAAAAAUGAAUCUAGGAUUAAUUAAAAUAAGCUGCCAAUUAUAUUAAAUAUAAUUGUUUAUAAUAACUAACUGUGUAAAUAAUGAAAAGUUCUUGUCAUUUUCUUUUCUUUAGCAAUCAUUUAUUUAUAAACUAUAAAAAUUUAAAUCUAUCUAUAAUCUUUUUAUAAAAAUAUAUAAUAGCUUAUAUAUUUUAUAAAAGUUUUGAAAAUUAUUUAUAAAUGUAUAAACUAUUUUAAAAGUGAUCAUAAAGAAGUUAUAAAAUCAGAAUCUAUCAUCGCCAAGCAUUGUUUUUUUUUUGCAUUGUUUUCUUCGCAAAGUAUCAUUUUUGUAAACUCAAGAGUUUAGGAUCACUUUAUUUUAAAGUGAUAUAAUCAAAUAUUUUUUAAAAAUCAUAUUAUUUAUGUUUAAUUUGUAUCUUUUUGUAUAUGAAUAUACAGAGAAACACCAGGACGACGUGUGCACGAAGAAACAUUUAUUAAGAUCAUCUCCAAUGGUUUACUCUACUUUUUACUCAAAAAUAGAGUAACUAUAUAAUAGAGUUUGAGUUUGUUCCAAUGGUACUCUAUUUUAGAGUAGAAAAUAGAGUGAUGAGCAAAAAAAAAACAAGUUACUCUAUAUUUGGAGUAAACAUAUUUUUCAUACUAUUAUAGACUGGGAAAUAGAUUACCAUUGGAAUAUUUUUACUCUAAAAAUAAGGGCAUCUCUAAUAAAACAUUAUAAUUUUCUCUAUAUUUCACUCUAAAAUAGAGUAACUCUAUUAUGGAGUUGAAUUUGCUCCAAUAGUUCAUUCUAUAAUAGAAUUACUCUAUAAUAGAGCGAGUGAAAUAUAUAGUAAUCUUUGUUUUUACACAAAAUAAUCACAAAACCUAAAUUGUUCUCUGUUCCAAUCAAAGACCACAUCACAUUUGGUAGAGCCUCUUGGUAAUGAACUAAUGGCGCUAUUCCAACAACUACCCAAAAGAAAAAAGUUUCGAUGCACCCUUUGUAUGGAGUUAAAUAUGGCCAACUAGGGGGGUCUGAACAAAAAAAAAAACGCGUUUGAGCACCAAAAGAAAAAGAUCAGCACAACAUCGCUAGUGGGAGAUUUUGUUUUGCUAUUACAAACUAUGAAAAAUAUUAGACGAUUUACAGCUUGACAAUUCUAUCUGUUUUAUUAGAAUUCACGUCUAACUGUAUCAUCUGAGCCGCCCUAUCAGAUCCACGUUUGAAGGUACUCCUUGUGCCAUGUUGCAGAUCUCUUGUAAGUCUUUUUUUCAUUAAUUCGCAUAAUUCCACCUUCUCCGGGAAUCAAAACCCAAACCUCGUAAUAUAGAGCAUUAAUGAACCCUUAGUUAAACCACUGGACCAAAGGGCUUCCACAAAUGAUACUGAUAUCUAAUAAAUAAAAAAACAAUUAUUUCAUCAAAUAGAUUUUCUCAAAAAAGGUAUUUUAAAUAAUAUAGUUUGAAAUGUUUGUAGAUAAUGUUUCUCAAUAUAAAAAAAAAAUCCAUCUAGCAAAAAUAACAAAUAUAUUUUUCUUUGGUGGAGAACAUUGCAUGGAUAAAUCCGACUGACGUAGUAUUAUUAUUUUCCACACGUGCUAUUUUUCAAACACACAAAUAGGGGUGGACGUUCGGGUACCCAUUCGGGUUCGGUUCGGAUCUAAUCGGAUUUCGGGUUUUCGGGUUUAAAAAUUUCAGCUCCAUUCGGGUAUUUCUAAAUUUCGGUUCGGGUUCGGUUCGGAUCUUUGUGGGUUCGGUUCGGGUCUGGAUAACCAUUUAAAUUAUUUUAAAAAUUUUAAUAUUCAUUAUAUGCUUAAAAUUUGUCAAAAUCUAAAAAAACAAAAUAAUAUAUUACAUAUAAAUUUGUAUAAUAUAUGUCAAAAUACCUAAAAAUAAUAUAUAAAUUGGUUUGAUUUGAAUAUUUGGAUAGAAAAUCAAUACAUAUUUCAAGCAUUUUGGUGUUUUGAAUAUAUUUUAGUUAUUUUAGACAUUUACUUUUGACUAUUUAUGUAUAUUUUCAAGUCUUUUAGACAAUUUAAAAAUAUCUUAUAUAUUUUGGAUGUUUGUAAUAUAUAUUAAAUUUAAAAAUAAGUAAUAUAUUUAGAUAUAUAAAUCUAUUUCGGUUACAUUCGGGUACCCGAGAUACUUCGGUUCGGGUCGGGUUCGGUUUCGGUUCUUUAGAUACCAAAAUUUUGAACCCGUUCGGAUAUUUAAUUAAUUGCGGUUCGGGUUUGGUACUAUUUUUUCGGAUCGGGUUCGGUUCGGUUUUUAGGAUCCAGAUUUUUUGACCAGCCCUGCACACAAAUAAUUGACGUUAACAAAAUUUGACCGUCGACUUUCUAGACAUUACUCGCCAUCCAGCCGACCAAUCUUACGUGGCAGUUCCAACCUCCACCCACAAUCCAUCGCCGUCCAAACUCUCUCUCUAUAAAGAAGAAAAUAAAAAAGUCUCUUUCUUUUUCUCUUUUCAUCUUCUCCUUCCUGUUGCUGAAUCCGAAUAACAUCACCCAGAUUUCUCAGGAAGACAAACAUCAUUGAGCAGAAAACGAUGCCGUAUUGCGAGGUUUCGAAAGAACAAGUCGAAGCAGAGACGACGCUGAAGAACAAUGCGGUGGUCAAGAUAUUCUACAGAACGUACGGUCAUGGUCCUACCAAAGCUCUUCUCAUCAUAGGUAGAACUCUCUCUCUCUCUUUCUGAAAGCUUGAUUUCAAUUGGGUUUUCGAUUUAAAUGCUUAAAGGUUUCUCCUUUUUCGUUCAGGUUUAGCUGGAACACAUGAAUCGUGGGGUCCUCAGAUCAAGGGAUUAACGGGGACGGAUAAACCCAACGACGAAGAUGGAGACGUUUCACCUCAAAUCAAGGGAUUAACAGGGACGGAUCAACCCAACGACGAAGAUGGAGACGUUUCCGAUGAUUGUGGAAUCGGCCAAGGCAUGGAGGUUUGCGCUUUCGACAAUCGCAGGGAUUGGCCAAGGCAUGGAGGUUUGCGCUUUCGACAAUCGUGGUAUGGGUCGAAGCUCCGUGCCCUCCCACAAAUCUGAAUACACGUAAGUCUCUAUACUUGAGAACCUGUCUGUAGUUAGAGAGCUGGUCGGAGCUAUAGAUAAUUAAGAGUUUAUAUUUUUUUUUUUUUUUACAAAUUUGAGGAGUUGUAUAUAAUUAAAAAAAUUCCAUUUUUUUUAGAGUAGACCCUUUCUUUUUACUUGGAUUCAACAAAUUGUGAAGUUGGUUUUGUUUGGUUUUUGUUUGUGUCCUCUCAGAACAACUAUAAUGGCAAAGGAUUCAAUUAGUUUGUUGGAUCAUUUGGGAUGGGAGAGAGCUCACAUUAUUGGGCACUCGAUGGGUAAGUUUUUUUUCCAGACAAUUCAAGUGACUUUUGUUUGUUUUCUUCCUUCUUAGUUCUUACUGUUGUUCUCUUGGUGGCUUUUUGAUGAAACAGGAGCAAUGAUAGCUUGUAAGUUAGCUGCAAUGGUGCCGGAACGGGUUCUUUCUCUAGCGUUGCUUAACGUUACUGGUGGAGGUUUCGAGUGUUUCCCCAAGGUAACACACAUGGCGCUGUUUCUUGAAUCUUCCUUCUUUGAUAGCUAUAUGGUUUUGUUCAUAUGUGUUGUUGGAUCUUUUUGGUUUCUUAUAUGUAAAAAGUGAUUUGUUUUUAUGUGCUACAGCUUGACAGGCUAACACUUUCCAUUGCGAUACGUUUCUGGAUGGCAAAGACCCCUAAACAAAGAGCUAAAGUUGAUUUGGACACACAUUAUUCACAGGUGGCGGUUUUCUCUGUGGUGUGCCGAAAUUCUAUAAGAACCACAUUUACAUAGACCAGUUGUUUAAUAGAUUUGAUGAUUGGAGUUCUGGAAAAUGGCUUGUAUUGUUGGAGGAGGAAUGUUUUAUUACAAUUUUCUUUCUAUGUAAAGUUUGAUGCUGUAUUCUCUGUACGGUUGUUAAGAGCGACUAGAUGAUUGCUUUGGUUGAUACAUUGAAUCAUAUAUUGGUUACAAAAUUGUAUGUGUGAUGAUGUUAAAACUAGAAAGAGCUUUUAGAGAGAGAGAGAGCAAAAUGAGUAGAGAUUCUGAUAUGCUCAAAGUAAUAUUCAUUCAUGCAAAAUAUUCCCACGGCAUAUACCCCCUUUCACGAUCAUUGUUUACGGUUUGCGAACCUUUCCUCAAUUCACAUCGUAAUGAAAAGUCUUGGGCCAGAGGCCCAUUAAGCCCCUUUUGCUGAUUCUCUCUUUUAUUUUUUGGGUACAACCUCCAUUGACAGAAGGAAGGAAGCAGCAAAAAAACAUGGCUGCAACUGGUCCUCGAACUGCGCCUUUCAACCAAAAUUGGGAUUUCAGCUGGUAUGUUCAGCUUCUGGUUUCUCUGUAUCUAGUGAUAGAACAUACUAAUUCAAUUAUUCAAAUCUUGAGUCUGGCAAGUUUGAAGGAAUCUCUUUGAUUUUAGAGUCCAAAGUUUCGAUCUUUACCCACAUUAACAGCCUAUACGACCUAAUUUCAUUAUCUCCGCUCAUUUAGAUUAUUUCGCACUUACUUUUGUACGAGUUUGCCCUUUGAGGAUCACACUGUUAUAGACUUGAUGAAAUUUUUCAAUUUGAUUUUUUUUUUUUUUGUGGUAGAAAGUUUCGGGCUGUGAUUAUCUUGUAAGAGUUUUUUUUGUAUGGGCUAAAUUUGCAGCAACUUGGAUGUGAAUUUCGAAACGGAACAACAAGCUUUCAUUGCGUACACAUCAUUGGCUGUUGAUAAAGAGGUUUGAAAGUUUCUCAAUUCACUCUUGUUAUAGUUUCUUAUGCUGUGACCGUUAAUGCAGUUGCAGCCUGAUAAGGUGAGAAGAGUCAUGUCCGUAUCAAACAACAAGCUUUCUGUGUGAGUUUCUCAAAGUUAAUCUAUCCUGCUUAAAUCGUUUUAAAACUGAUUGAUGCCUAAUUGGAAAUCUUUCGGGUCCGUUUACUAGUUUUUUUUUUAUAUUUGCUCAUUGGAUAACUUUACAGCCACUUUGAGGCAAUAGAGGCAAGGCUUCUUCGAGCAUCCUUCUCUGCGUUUCUUGACGUUCUUACACUGGCCACAAGAACAAUUCAAGAAUUUGGGCAAUUCUGAAAGCACCAAUGUGUAGACGAAUGUUGAUUCUUUCUCUUUGUCCCUUCAAGAAUUCAAUUAUUGUAGUGUUUAUCAAGCAGUGUAUUGUUAUGUUGUGGCUGAAUCGAAGUGUAAAAUAUAUUACAUUUAAAGCUUAUGAUUUUGACUAGGUUUGCGACUUGCGAGAUCGGUUAGAAUGGUUUGUUUGGUUUGGGUGAUUCGGUUUCUUUUCUUUUCUCUAUGAGUUUCAAUCUCAACAAGUAAGAAUUGAUGCUUCUGAAUUUCGUUUUCAUUUUGGAAAAGAAUGCAUUUGGAUUUUGAUGCAUGUAUUUUGUAAGUUUCUUGACCAUCAAUGAUGGUCAAUACUCAAUACUAAUACGAUUGCUUUAGUUACACUUUAGUUACUUGUUAGAUUGACCAUCAAAGAGGUCGAUACCAGUAGUGUAGUUACUUCUUAUUUUCUUAGUAUUCACUAUCAUUGUCGUAGCAGUUUUUUUUUUUAAUUAGUGAUAAAAUGUGUAAUUUGAAUUUAAUGAUGAAGAACCGUAUAAUAAUUACAAAAGAAUCUUGUAGAAAACUCCAAACAAUAUAUAUAAAAAAAAUAUUGCACUUUCACACAGAGAAUAACAGAGCUUGACAAGCAUCCAAAUAAUAUUGAGGAUGCUUGAUGCUACCUGAAAAUGAGAAUUGUGACUUUUUUUUUUGACAAACACUUUAUUCACUUUUUUGACAGUUUAAGACACUUGUUGAAUGAGAAUUGUGACUUGAGAAAAGUUACUAGUCAAAAAUAUCAUACUUUAGAUUUUUCAAAUGAGAAUAUAUUUCUUACCGCCAAAAGUAUUCAGUGUCGGUAGUAUUGAUAAGCUUCCAAAGGAAAGCGAGUGGCGACCUGGCUGAGAAAUUCCACAAUGAUGGAGAUGAGCCAUUUUUUCAAGUCAAGCCUAACCGCAGAAAUGAAUAUCCCAAGGAACUAUCAAGAUUAUCUGAUAUACAAGAUAUUAUUUUUUCAUUAACCUGGUUAACAUGAUGAGCUCUCAUUUGUAAGAAUCCCGAGCUAGUAUUCUAAUUUUGGAGAAUUCAAUGACCAUGGAUUUUCCAAUAUAUAUAUAUGCUCAUCAAGGUCUACACUCCCAAGAAAAACAAUUACGUAGAUCUCAAACAAGAAGUUUAUUUUCAAAAAUCAAUUACAUGGAUCUAAAACAAGAAGUUUAUUUCUGGAAAAACAAUGACAUAUUUAUUUUCAAACUCCAUAUAAUGUAGUUUAUUUCCGAACUCCAUUAAAUCAUCUGAUUGUUAGUUAAGGUGUUGGUGUUUCUCACAAUGCAUGUAGAAUCCUACUCAUAUGAUGGUCCUCAACAGAUCAUUACUUUCAGUAACAUAUUUGCAGUGACUUCUGUUUUGCUAUAAACCUCUAUCCAGGACUUAGAAUUGUUAGUAUAUUAUUAGAAAUUUAUUUAGCUUUCCUUAUUGUGUUUGAGGUACUUGGUGUAAGUGGUGUAAAACCCUUUUUUCCUAAAAUGAUCUUUAUGCUUUCCAGGGAUGAAUUCAACCAGGAAGAUAUGGAAUUGGUUCAGUUUGUGAUCAAUAUAUUCAGGAAUUUACCGACUAUCCAUGAUAUUCCACCGCUUCAAAAGGCUAGAGAAUUCAUUGGUUAAUUUCUGUGGUUGAGGGUCAGUUUCUUGAACUCAUGUCCAGUGAAAACGGAUGGACAUAUUUCUUAUAAUUAUUCUGUCUACCGAGAGUUCUAACAGCUUGUCACUCAGUCUAGUGACUAGUUGUUCAAUCCAAACAAGUUUUCCUUUUCCAUUUCUUACUUAUUCUUUCCGGUUGCUAAUGCAGUUUUGCAAUUAUUUCUCUUAAUUCCUUUACAAUUUAGAUAACAGAGAACAAAAUUAUACUACUAAUAUGUAUUUCAGACUUUAUUAUUGCUAUUGGUUUGCAGUAAAUCUGCUUCUUAAAAGAUAAAACUUUUUUUGCUUGAAUAAUCUGUAUUUAUAGUUUCAUAUGCUAUUUUCGCUUGCUUAGAUGAUUUUGAAUUUCAUAAAACUUUUAUAAAUGUGUCAAUCUGUAUGUACUAUGUACACCAGUAAAAGUUUUGUGUUUCUUUACCAAUAUGCUAUUUUGAAGUGAUUUUGUAAGACUAAGCAUUCUAUUCUCUAAACUCGGUGUUGAUCAAUCGUUUUAAAACUUCCGAACAUGUAAUAAAUAACUGAAGAUCUUUAUUUCUAUUUUAAGUCUGGUUUAGGCAUUCUUUACGCCUAUAUGCAUUCUACGUUCUUUAAUUUAAAGGCUUACUGAACAGGUUGUAAAAAAAGAAUUGUAUACGUGACUUUGUCUAUGUAACUUAGUAUUCAUAACUGGUUGACCAAACCAUUUGACAAAUAUAUGGAUAUUUGCUGACAAGAAACAAGACCAAGGACAAUAAUUAACAAAACCCUCUCUAAUGUCUAGGAGAUACUUAUGUCUCAGUGUUAUUAAUUAUACCUCGUGUUGUAAUCAAUAGACGACCAACAAACAUUCCCUUCGAGAUUUGAGAGAUUCAUAUCAUUAAUUGCAUUUCUCAAACUACACGAUUAAAACCUUAUUUCGAGUAUCUCAGACGUAACCCAUAAAAAGACCAUGCAAAAUGGCCAAAGAUAAGACUUUGAUGAGUCUCCAAGUCACUUUCUGUUUUUGGCUUUUGUCCCCUAAACUUUCGACAACAUUCAUCUCUCACCCCCACACGUCCUGGGACCUCUGUCUCUCGACUCUCUCCCCUACAUUUCUCCUCCUCUCCCAUUCUAAUAUUUUUAACCUUUUCUUAUUUAUGAAAAUGACUAUUUUAUUUUUCUUUCCUUACGCUCUAUUCUUUUAUUUAUAACGCGUGGUCCUCUUCAUCUUAAAACGUAUAAUACAGCUAUUUCAUAUGUGUUUCAUGUAUAUUAUUUUGUUUUCUUGUCUUCCAAAUCAAUUAUUCCCAUGAGAUAUAGGUCAACAUGCAUCGUUCUUUAUUAAUGAUUCUUGAAAAGAAUUUAAAAUAAUCAUGCGUAGUGUUUUGAUAUUCCUAAUUAAAAGAUAGAUAUGAUGCCACAAUGGGAAUAAAUAAAUAAAAGAACUUUGUAGGAAAAGAGUAUAAACUAAACUAAAAUGAGAGGAAAGGGAUGAAGGCAACAGCACAUAAUGAGAGGUGAGUAUGGGCUCGCAAACUCUUAUGUUUCUUUUCCCUUACCAAAUAUUAAUAUCUAUUGUUUCUUACCAAACAAACCACAUAAAUAUAAUAUAUUACCGUUAUAAAAAUUAAAGUAUAAUAUAUCUUUGCUUCUAUGUGUGGUCCCUUCCUCUCUCUAUAUAGACACUGAAACAUAUGUUCUCCACUCAAAACAUUUUUUUUGUCUCCAACAAAAACCACUGAAUACACUCAAGAACAGAUAUAUAUCUCCUUCCAAGUUUUUCUUUAAAAAAAAUAUCGGCCAUGGAAGCAAACCAACAAGACGCUUCAAUGGCAUUAGUUCCCAUAGAGAGCUUCUCUUACAGUUGGUUAGUUAACUUUCCUUCUUUAGAAGCUUCCAUUGAUGAUUAUCAUCAAACCUACGAAGAUUCUUCUUCUUCUUCCUUCAUCGAGAUGGACCCAAGAUUGCCUCCUUCUAGAAGAUUUUUCAUCAACAAAGCCCAUGAAAGUAGCUUCAAGUUCGAUACCUUUGUCUCUUUUGCCGACGAAGAUAACUCUUUAGUUCACGCCGACGAGCUUUUCCGUGACGGCUACGUCAUGCCUUAUCUAUCAAAAGCCACGUCAGCAACUACCGAGAAAGAAUAUGAGCCGGUGGACACGAAAACAGAGAAGAGGAAGAUGAAGACACGUGACAUUCAGAGCAAGUCUCCUUGUAGAACGUUGAGGAGAGUCUCAAAGUGCGUUUUGUUAAGGUAUCUUGAUUUUUUGACGCCAUUGUGUAAAAGAUUAAGGAGAUGUAGAUCCGCUGGAUCAUCCGGAGGUACCGGUUUCGACGCUAGGAUCCGUUUAACGACGUUGUCUAGAAGCAGAGUGUAUUCUGAGGAAACGACGUCGUCUCCAAGAGUAAGUGUUGCAGAUGAUUGUUAUUGGAGAAGGUCUUGUGACUCGGAGAGCUCCAUUUACGAAGCCGUUCUUCAUUGCAAGAAAUCUUUCGGUAAGUUACUAACUUACAGUAAAUAUAAUUAUUUGCUUAAUUAUGUAAUUUUGAUUAUUUGUUAAUUAUUAUUAUUUUGUUAAUUUUAACAGAGAAAUAAGAGUCAAGAAUCCAUUGAGAAUGGGCAGGUAGAAGUAGAGGUGGAGAAUAUUAAGAUUGAGAAGAAUAAGCAAAUUGCAUUAACACGUUACACAUGGAGUGGGAGAGAGCAACUUGUGAUGUGUCUUUUUGUUGUUUCUCUUUCUUGAAUUAAAGAGAUUGAUGUGGUGAUCCAUGUGAAUGUGUCAAUCUGAUGUGGAUCAAGAAUGUCUUUUUUUACAUGAGUGGGCACAUAUAUAGCCUUAUAGGUUAUAUGGGCAGCUAGCAGAAUCAAGAAAAUAUUUUCAGAUUUUCUUGGCUGUUUUUCUACAUAUAUGUAAGUUAAAUAGAUUCUUUUUAUAUAUGUAAUCCUAUGUGCCUACCCAUGUUUUUUACUUUCUGGUCCAAUUGUGUUUGAAUAUUCUUACUUUUUGUGUAAAUUUUGUCUUUUCUUGUCUCUGAGGUCAUACGGUAUGUCAUCAUAUAUUUGCAUGAUUGAACUCCUUUUCUUAUAAUUAUUGUAACUCAAAUCAAUUAAAAUCAAACAAAGAGAUGAAAAAGAGGGAAUUCCAAAAACAUGUCCAAAACUUUAUAUUUAUACUAUCUUGACAAAAGAUAGUCUCAUGGUUCUAAUGGCUGAGGCCGGUGAUCGAUUUUUUCAAGCAUAAUUAAUAAUUUUCUUAUUAUAAAAUCAAGACCAGGUAUGUAUGUUCCAAAUAUUAGUUUUGAUUUCGGAAUCAAUUUUAGAAAUUAUAAAUGUUUUUGUUAAAAUAUAUAAAUAAGUAGGUGGAUUUCGUGAUCUAUAUAUUCUUUUGUUUUGUAUGAUUGUGUUUGUCAUUUAUAUGAACCUUUAGCAUUUUCUGUAGGAUUAGUUAAAAUACUGGAAAAUCUACAAUCUAUCACAUGUUUAAACAUACCUAAUGGUAAUACAUACAUAUGCAAACAUAAUUGAGAAUCUUUGAAAAUCCAUAACAGGAUAUUUAAGAUCUAAAUACUUCUUUUUCUUUUUUUUAAUCAGAAAAUAUGGCGACUAGCUAAUUAUCCAAAACUGAAAGAAGCUUGGUGUUUAGAACAUCUAUAUCGACGAGGUAGAGUAAGAUUAGGAGGUGUUAUUGGUUUAUAUAUUUUGAUUGAUUUAGAAAUCCAUAUAGUAUUUAUAAAUCCAAGUAAAAUAUACAAAUCCGGAGGUUUUCCCUCGGAUUUGAGUCUUUGUAUUUUUAACAGAAAAAUCCAAGCAAAUCCAUUCAAAUCCAUUAUAAAAUUAAAUAUAUUAGUAAAUCCGUGCGAUUGAAUAACACUUGAUUUGAUAUAGAAUUUAUGAAUCAUUAAACCAAUAACACAUGAUUUUAAUACAGAUUUAAAAAUCAUAGAACCAAUAACACUAGAUUUAGUUCGAAUUUUCAAAUCCAUAAAAAUACAACAACCAAUAAUCCCUACUUAGUAUCUAACUUAAUAAUAUUAAAAUUUUAAUAAAAAAUGUUUACUUAAUUCUAAUAUUUUCUUACCAAUUAAACCACUUACAGACUUUAUUUUGUUUCCCUUUCCUUUUUAGAGUUUAAGUAAAUAAUUAAUUAAAACCAUCUCAAAUACUUCUUGUAUACUAAUAUUUUUUUACAAAAUUAAAAAAACUCCAAUCCCUCUUUUAUUUUUCCUAUUUUUAGUUUGUUUUUAGUGAAAUUGAGAUGCUCUUUUUCAACUUAGGCUCCAAUUAGUGACCAUGUUGAAAGAAAAAAAUUAUGGUGAAUUUUCUAUUCCUCAAAAUUUAUACCAAUUAGAUUAAAUUUUUUGUCAAAUUAUUAAUUGAUAGAUCCCACAUUUUUCCUCUAAAUUCUUCAAAGAUGAAUGAAUUUAUAAAGAAAAAUAUCACUCUGCAAUUUUGAUGAGGAACAAAAUGAACAAAAAAAUUCUUAUUUUUAAUUUUUUCAGUUCCUCAAAUUUAUUUUUUAUUUUGUUCAUUUUUUCUAUUUAUCUUGUGGUCACCGAUCGAAGCCUUAGUUUAUGCAAAAUAUUACAAGAAUCAGAAGUACAUCAAGGUCGAUCAGCUUGUAAAAGUAUAUAUAGUUCAUUGCCAUUAUAAUAAAAUCUAGACCAACUCAUUUUAUUUGUUUUUCUACAGUAAAAAUAUUAUUUUCUGUAUUUAAAAUAAGAAAUAUAUGUGUUUAUAUUAGAGAAAAAUAAAAAUACUAUAUAUACAUAUAUAUCAAACUAAAUUCACAUAUAUUAUAAAAUUAUAUAUUUUAUUUAUUAAUAAAAAUACAUUAAAAAUGGUCUAAUGUGGACUCUUUCAAAUUAUUGUUGGUUAUCAACUCUAAUCUUUUUCAAAAUAUUUAGAUGUGCCAUUUUUACUUUAUGUUAAAAACGUGAAACAUCAUUUUAGGAAAGGGGGGGAGUCAAAAUUGAAACAUCAUUUUAAUAUUUUUUAAACUUCAUUUGAAAUUUUUAAAUUUUUAAAUUUUUUAAUUUAGAAUUUAUAUUGUUUCCUUUCACUUAAAUUUACAGAUAUUUAAUAAUAUAAUAAGAUUUAAAUUUAUCAGUGGAAAUUCGGAAGCAAAACCAAGACACCAUUUUAUUUGGUUGAAAAUAUCAUUUUGAAAGUUUAGAAAUAUUUAAAUAUAGUUAAACUGAUCAGUGAAAAUUUUGGAGCAAAAUCGAAACACCAUUUUUAAUUAAAAUCAUCAUUUUGAAAUUUUUUAAAAUAAAUUUAGUUAUGAUCAGUGGAAAUUUUGAAGCAAAAUCUGUCAUAUCAGAAAAUCUACGAUUAAUAGAUAGGGAGAAAAAGCUUGGGAAGCAUAAUAACCUUUGUAUUAUAGAUAAUGGGUCCGAUUGGUAAUGGCUGUAGCUUUAAAUAUUUUGCUGUAGAAAAAAAUCUGUAGACUUUUUGCUGUGGCUUUAGAUUUUAUUGCUGUAGAAUUUUAUUGAAGCACUAAAAAAUUGCUUUGGAUAUUUGGCUCUGCAGAGCACUUGUACAGCUGUAGAAUAUUUUAAGAGCUGUGGUUUCAAAAAAAAAUUUAAAGCUUGAUUGCUCUGAAUUUGAUGCUGUGGAAAUAAAUAGGGCUGUGGACAGCACCUACAGCAACUACCAAUCACCCCCAAUAGAUCAAAAGUUAAUUAAUUAUGUUAAUCACAUUGAAUUAUCUUUAAAUUAUGAGCAGUAUCCUAUAAUAUCUAUCGCAUUUUAACCCGAGCGGCAUAAAUGUUGUCUAUAAUUUGAAGGGAACAAGCCUAUGGUUUUUGAUGCUGCUAUAGACAUAAGAAAGGGCCUUAAGGACCGAUUUAACGUAAUUAUCUCUUAUAAAACAAAAUUACUGCCCAUGUUUUUUGGGGCAACUUUGUUGCAGAAGAUUGGCCAUGCAUAGAUAAAUGUAUUAAAAACUUAUAGACCCUAUACCAUUAGAGACAAGAAAGAUUCGAAACUAAAAUAUUUAUGUAAACACGCAUAUUUUAAUGCUUGAAACUAUUGUGGCAUAUUCACCCAAAAAAACAUCAUUUUUCUUACUUUCUUAUCUUCAAAUUGAUAGGUCCUAGAAGAUUUGGGAGUACAUGCACAGAUCGACUCAAUUGGUUACACUGCAUCUGGAUCCAAAUGUUACAACCAAAAUACAGUGAAAGUCACAAAGGAUUUACAUAUUUAAUUGAAUUUGAUCGAUAUAUCUCUUUCUAAUAAACCACAUAAAAAUAAACAAAUACAGAAUUUAUCACGUUCAUACCCAAAAAACACUCACUACCAAAAAUAUGAUGUAAGCUCACUCACGUAUUAUAUGAUGAAUUCCAAGUGUGACUUGAAAGAACCAAAGAACUUUUUGUUACAAUCAUAUUACUUACUAUCAAGAUCUAAAGGUCUUCUCAACCCAAUAUCCAUAGCUCUAAUGGCCGACCAAACGGACAACCAAUUGGACAUUCGAUCUAUUUUUCUUAAUUUUUAUACAUAUUCGUACCGAAGUAGACCAAGUGGUGACAAAUUUCUUUUGUUGAACCCCACCAAUUAAUAUUUAUCAUACUCUUCGCCAUUUUUGUUGUUUCGGGUCAUUUCACAAUUGCUUAUUUCGUAUAUUAUAAAAGAAAGCAAAACUGCAAACAAACUUGGGAACAAAAUUCAAACUGAUAUUGUUUUGUUUUAAAAAACAUUACUAUUAAUUUGCUUGAUUCUUAUAAUAGUGGUGACAUUUAGAACCAUAAUAAUUUGUUCGAACACUGUAUAACUAUAUAUACUUACAAAGGACCACAAAAAUAUCUUUCUCUUCAAUUUAAACCAUUCCAUAGUGGAGACAAAUUCAAAAUCAAGAUAUCCGUAACAUCAUGCACCUAGGAACUGUUAUCCCUUAUACCGAAUUAUAUCUGACAAAAAUGCAAAUAGAGGAAAGUUAGGCAACAAAACUGAAGCUUCGUGAGGAUUAGCCGAAAAUAUUUGAAUAGUGUCACAAACGAAAACUUUUUUAAUUGAGAAAAAUAUAAUUGAGUAAACGAUGAGGAAGAAACUAUAAUCUCACGUGCUAGUGAGACAAAACAAGGAGACAUGGACAAGAUAUGUUCCGAGAAGAUCCAAAGCAUUCCUCGUGACACUGUUCUCAUCUCCUAUCUUUAUUUCGUUUUCAUGUUCUUCUUAUCUCAUCUUCUUCUUCUUCGGGGACCAAAAACACUUCAACAUAUAUAUAAGGUCAUUUCUCUUUCGUCAUAAUUUGUUGAGAGCGAUAUACUAGAUUGAUUGUAUUUAAGUAAGUUUUCGCUAUCCGUCCUCAAUAUGUACCGCUCGAUAUGCUCAAAUCAGAAAAAUAUGUAGAUUUUCUUCAACACUAGCAAUGGAUGUCCAUUGCUAGUAAACAGUUAAUUGUGUAGUGUACAAGAUAUUGAACAAUGUCGAAUGUUAUUGGAGUAACUCUUGAGAUUGGUGUAGCGAGAGAAUCAAGCAUGAUGACCUAGACACUAGCUAGGGCGAUAAUUGUUAACCAAAAAAAAAAAAGUCUAGGGCGAUAAUUAACUCGUUGAUGAAUGUGAAAUAAAAAUUAGAAAAAAAAAGAAAUAAAUUCAUACGAAAGAAAGAGUUUAGUAUUUUUAGCAUACAUUGGACCCGGGUCGACAGAUACCAGAUCAUUUAGGUCAUACCUUUAGUCGUAUGAUGGAAAGCUAAACACUUGAUUGGUAGAUCAAUCCUAGUUACUCGUUUUUUCUUCCACUAGUUUUUAACUAGCUAUGACAAAAAAAAGACCCGAAAACGUCAAAACUCUUCCUUAGUGUAAUGCUUAGUUAGGUUGCAUUCGUGUCUUAGUCGAAGUAAGACUAUUUACAUUAUUGCACGUAAUGUAUUUUUUUGCCUAUCAGUCUUUGCCAACAUGCAUAUUUCUCUACACCGUUACUAAAUUUUACGUUGUAUGUAUUUCUAAAAUAAUAAAUUAUACGAAAACACUAGUUGUAUUUGUAUGAGCAGGAACAUCACAGCUAAUCAAGUCCAAGAAUACAACAAUAAAUAUUCGUCCCAGACCAACAUUUUUUCUUGUAAAAUUAAAUCAGACAGAAAGUAGCAUCUACAACACUAGCCAUUCGUCGUUCGAAUCAUUAAGUAAAAUGACUCUUCAUACAGUAUAUAGUUAAGUAUAUAAACUGUCAGAAGAUUUUCUUAAAUAGGAUCUUAUAAAUUAUAAAACUGGUCUAUAAAUUAUAUUCAAUAAAUGAAUACUAUAGUCGCCAAGAAUACAUCUGAUAAUGUUUUCAAAAAAGAAAGAAAAGAGUACAUCUGAUAAAGGUUGGCCGACGUUGAACUCGAGACUACAAGUCUACAGUAACCUAAUUUUAACAUAUCUAUGGACAGAACAAACAAAACAAUCAAUAUGAGAAGGAACAAAAUGUAUGUGUUGUUAUAAUUAUGCCGAUAAAUCCCAACAAGAAAACAUUAGAACUAGCUAGAUCAUCAUCAUUCAUCACGUCAAUUUACUUGAAAGUUAAUUAAUUGCUAACCAAAAGUAAAUUGUUUACUUUGUCAAACAUGAAAUGCGUAAAUCUUUACUUAAAAUGCUGCCAAGGGUUAUGUUGCCUACUGGUCAAGUCGUGUUUACUAACUCAAAUUUGGCCAAAAAGAUUGAUUAUACUCAAAUAAUAAGCCAACAAAAAUCAUUAUCUUAAUCCGUGCCUUUUGUCUGGCGAGAAUCAAUUCGUUAACUUGUCAUAAUAUUCGAGCAACCUUAUAUAUAUAAUUAUACAUACAUGUAUACCAUAUAUAUUCUUACAACUUUACGUGAUUUAUGAACUCUGAAAUGUGCAACGGCAUACAUACAUAAAAGUUUAUUAUUAUAGUAUGCAAAAUAUUAGACCAAGGGAUUCGGUUGAAAGGAGAUGUGGAUAAGAUAUUAAUUAGUUUUGGCAUAUAUUCUACCAGACAAAUUUACAUAAUUUCUCUCAUUUUCUUUUUUUUUUUUGACAAAGGGCGGCUUAAUUUCUCUCAUUUUCCCCAACCGCUAUUUUUGUAAUCCGAGCAUCAUCUACACCAAUUCUUUAACGAAUCAUAGAUAAGAAUAUAUGAAUGAAUCUGGUUAGUUUUACAUGAUAUCCAAUUAUAUAAUGCAUUUCGAGCAAUUCAUGAUUAAAAAAAAAGGAUUUCUAGUUGCAGCCACUGAGAGAAUUAAAAAAAAAAUGUCGAGCACAAUAGCGAACUAGCGGAGUCAUUAGUAAUAUAUUGACUAGAUCUGAAAUUCUAAAUGACAAAAAUACUUUAUUUUUCAUUAACCUUACAUAAUGUUAAGAAUAACGUUGGAGUCCGCAUGAUAUAUAAUUUGUAAAAACGAAAGAAACCUUGAAAUCCUUCAUCCUACAAUACAUUCCACUAACUACAGUCAAGAUUAUUAGAAGAAAAAAAUUCUUACGUUUCAUACACACAAUCACCAUAGCUUGGAUCGGUAGACGGUAAUAAUGUACAUACUCGUAAGUCGUAUCAUUGAAAUAACAUGCUUCGUCGGUAUGUCCGUUACUUGGGAAAUACUCAUUCAUUACAAACGAUGCAUGAUUUCUAUGAAUAUAUUGGUUCAAAGCAGGGUCCACCAGGUUUGAUUGGGUUACAGUCUAACAUUUCUUUGGCUACACAGUCAAUCAAUAUUAGCUUGCAUUUGUUCAUCUGUCUCCGAUAAAGCUGUCACACACCACUGAUGCUCUGAGAGGUUUCUUAUUCUGGAACUUGCAAGAGGAAGAUACUCGGUUGCAACGAUCGAUAGAAUCAGGAAGAGGAGUGUUGAUGGCGGACACAUAAUUUCAGUGAUAUUCUUUGUUAGAAAAUUGUUGAAUAUUUAUGUGAAUUUGAACAGUUGUGCUUUUCUUUAUAUAUAUAUACUAGGGUAAACCCGCCCGUAAAUAAACUGAUAAAACAAAUUUAAUUAAAAAUUGUAUUAUUUUAACUAAAAGUAUCACUAAGGUUCAUAAUUGUUUGGUUCACCGGCUUACAACUUUGUAAUCUGUGGUUGAUGUUCCCUACAUUCCCUUAGACCAUAUAUAACUGCCUUUGGUUAACUUCUUGAACACCUGCCUUAUAUACACUUUUAGAGUGUGUAAGUCAUUGAUAGAAGGAAAAACCACCUGUUUUGCUUUGGGGAGGGUUUCUACUACAUACACCAGAAAAUAGUUCAGAGAAAUAAAAAUCUUUUUGAGGAAUAUGUUGAAACAAUCAAGACAUAUAUAAAGAACAAUGAUAAGACUACCACACCAAAUAUAUAUAUAAUCUUGUCUGAAAUCAUAAAUAAAAUGCAAGAGAUUGUCUUUUACCCUUUUUAAAAAAUGUUUCGGAGAAGUCAACUGUUAGAGCUUAUGUACACAUAAGUGAAGAAUAAUUGGUUGUAGAUUCUUGAAAUUUUUUUUUGUAAACGUGAAAGGCCAGAAGAUCUUGAAUAAAAUAAAAACUCGGAUCAUUUAGCCGUGAAUAUACUUGAACCCCAUUAAAAAGAAUAAGCCAAUAAUUUUUAAGUAUGUGAAAAAACCAGGAGAAGAAUAAGAAGAACAGAGUAAUAAGUGGAUCUAUGUAAAAUCCUCAGUUCUGUUCCGCCUUUCUUUCCUCUGCAUAUUGACUCUUUUUGUUUUUUUUUUUUGUCAAACAUGUCAGUAUAAAGUUAAAAACUAAUCCCAUAAUGUAAAUAAGAGAAAGAAAAUAUCUAGAAGCUGAUACCGCUGAUUCUUAAGUAACCCGUUUUCUUUGGAUACUAAAGAAUUACGUAUCUGACACACACCUAUAAAGAACGUGGAAUCAUUAUGUUCUAUACAUAACAUAAUCUGGAGUUUCACCAAACAACGACAUUACUCAAACAUCACCUUAUAAGAGUUUAAUAUAAUGAAGAAAAAUAAAUAUUCAAAGUCAAGUAAAUCUAUAACAUAUAUUUCAUUUCCUUAAAAUAAAGUAUAGUCAAAAAAAAAUUUUAACGCAGAAAAGUAUAAUCAAAAUUUUCUCCUCAAUUAUGUAUAUACGUAUAGUUUUUCUCUCUUCUAAUAAUAUAACACAUCAUCAUACACAUUAAUAUCAUAUAAUUUUUUUUAUAAUUUGAAUAAACAUAGAUAUAUCCCAAUAUAUAAAAAAGAUUGGGAAUGAGCUCUCAUUCUACGAGUCUAUUUACCUCAUGAAAUAUAACCAACCAAUGGAGAGUUCAGAGAUCAGCAAGAUGAUAGAUCAAUAAAAAGUUAGAGCCCAAAAACCUGCUUCGUACACGACUUUUUUAUGCUGAAUUGGGUUCUUUACAAUAUAUUUUUCUUUUAUCUUCAAAGUUGGCUUAUUUUUAGUCCAUUUACACACCUUCGUUAUCUUCUCCGGCUUCACCUUCAUCGUCGUUAUUCACAUCAAUUUCAUUUUCAUUCGUCAAUGCCUCCCUCCCACUAUCAACACUCAUAAAUUCCAUUAAUAUUACUCCAUCAAGAGACAAGAGACAUGUAACAGUUUCAAUCAAAACGACCUAUUUCAACACCUAUAUAGUAACAAUUGCACAAUCUCUUACCCUCUUCCUAACUCCAUAUAUUAUAAGUAUUAUGUAUGAACUAAAAUCUACACAGUCCGAUUUAGAUCGGUUUACUACUCUAAAGUUUGAAACAAAACCAAUAGCUAACCUAAUUGAAUUGAUAUAAUCUGAAUUUUUUUAAUUUACCAAAUCUUGAUGGAGAAGUUGGGUCAUAUUUGUAUUUGGAUCUCAGUUUGGGUCAGAUUUUAAAUCCAGUCCAAAACAUACUAAUUUGGUACCGGUUUACGUUCAAACCACUAAAAGUAAAGUGAACAUUCAUUUUUGGGAAUACGAAUUUCAAUUUGUCUGAUUCGAGAGAAAUAAGAGAAAUAAGUUUUAGUAAUUCGUGAAGUUUUAAUACUUCUAAUAUGUGGAAUUAGGACUAGGUUAAAAGAUGAUGUGUAAUUGUCGUUAUAUGAUAUUUCGAGUGUGUAGACGAGUAUUUUGCCUUCGGAUCUAAAUAAAAGUUUAUUGGGCUCAAAAGUAAACCAUGUAUAGGCCCAUAUAAGGUAAUAUUUAGUAAUAUUAUUAAAUUAGUUUUUCCAACAUUCCCGUUAACCGAGAGGGAGAGGGAGAGGGAGAGGGAGAGGGAGAGAGAGGAAGGUGAAGCGACGAGAAAGACGAACCAAGAAUAAGAAGAAGAAGAUUAGAAAAAGAAUAUGUAUAGAAGAAUAUGUAUACGAAAUACGUACACUCCUCUGCGUUUUUGUACUCAACGUACCGUCAGAGACAGUGAUUCCCUUCCACCACCCCCACGAAAAUACCUCCGAUCACGAACCUAAGCGGUGAGUGUUUCCCGGAAAGGUUUGUUGAUGUUAUAAUCUUUUAAUCUCAUGAACUGGAACUUCCUACGCUUAGAAACAUUGUUUUAUUACCAAAUUAAGUCACUCCACUAACUCCAACCACUGAUUUUGUUUCCCCAAGCUAAGAUGUACGCAAGAUCUCCAACAACUCAGUGGGAAUCAAACUGAUGACAUCGGUUCUGAGCCUCAAAUGAGCUAUGAAGGUGUUGGUUCCGAGGCUAUGGAUACAGAGAUGAAGAAUGUUGGUGGCUCUUCUUCAGAGGCUAAGCUCACUCAGCCUGAAGGACAAACCACCGUCUCUCUCUCUCUGUGCCACAGUUUGCUAGUGAAGCUUGUGCAGCAAGCAAGACAGCAGUUGCAGUCAAUACUAUCAAACGCUGGAGGUUCUACUAGUACUACGCUACGCCUUGAACUCUUUCUAAAUGAGACUCAGCGAUCAGGAAGUGAGGAUGAGAAAUCUACUAAAGAUGCUGUAACUCGUGGAAUGGGCGAUAAACCGGUUUCUCACGUUGGUGACGUGCCAGAGGAGCUUCAGCUAGAGCUUGGCGAUAAGAAAAUGAGUGCUUCAGCCGUUGCUAGUGAAACAAACCAUGAUCAUUCUGCUUCAUCAAAAUGUGAAUUUGUUUGAAAGUAGAGAAGAAACGGUGAAAGAAUCUCUAAUAAGGAUUCUUGAGAAGUGGUUUAAAUUUGCAAGAUCAAAGUAGUUUUUGGUAUCAUUCAGAGAAUCAGAAAAGAGCUUAUGUUUUCCAUAUUUUGCUUAGAAACUUAGAAUAGUUAGCAAAAUUAUUACUCUCUCUCUCGUUUGUGUUUUUGCUAUUUUGCCAACAAACACAUAGUAUAUACUUUUGGCUAAAUCUUUUCCCUUGGCAUAUAUGCAGCUUUAGAGGUUCUUUCACAGUCCCAUUCACAGGAAGAAAUAUGAAAUAAUUAAGCUCUUAUCUGAAUUCUGUAGUAGUUUAUCUACUAAAACUUCGUGAACCAUAAACGUUGACAUGGUCCAUUUGAAAAAUUACGUCUUAUGUACAAGAACGAAAAGAAGAAAAAUUGGAUAUAUGAACUACUAUUUUUUUUGGAAAAUAAGCGUUGUCUUCUUUCCUUGUUAUGAGUUAGAACUAAGAUUAUUAUCUUAGUUAUUUUUUAGUGGAUCCCAAUAUUUGUCGCUUUUUGUAAACCAUAUAACAUAUAAAAAAAUGUUGAAGGAAUAAAACAAAAUAAGAGAAACUAAUUAAAUGGUAGUAGGUCCAAAACCAGGUAAUGUUGAGUUCAGAUCUGGACAAAGACAAAGACGUAUCCCAAAAAGAAAUGACAUCUCAAAAGUUUUAAGUUACUGCUUUGGCCCUUUGACGGUAUUCAAAGGUUAAUACAAUGAAAAGUGUUUUGUUCUUUAAAUUUUAGUUUUGUUCUUUAUUUGUCCCAUCAAAACUCAAUUUUCUUGGAAGUAUAUACUUUUUAGUUGAUAUUAGAAAAAAAAGUUGAUAUUAGAAAAUCACUUGACAAAAAUUAUAUCAUUAUUGUUGAUAUUGAGUUUAAAGUAAUCAAAUAGUUUAAAUUGUUAUUGAGUUUACGAACCUCGUGAGAUUUUGUUGGAGAUUAUAAAUAGUUGUAUUUAUUCAAUAAUAGUGUCGACUGAAAAAAAAUCAGCUACUGUAACCAAAUCUAACCGAAAAGGUAUUGCCGGCAAUGAAAAAAAAUUGGGUGGUCAAACUCAAAAAAUAUGUGUGUAGCAUUGACAAUUCUCUAACACCUUUGUUAAUUUUUAGUCUAAUAAAUGUCUAAAAAUCCAAAUAUUGAUAAAAUUUGGCAUAAAUUAAAUCAUUUUAUUUUUCAUGUUCCAAUGUGUUCAUUUAAAAUGACACAAUAACAACAUAUGGUAAAUUCAACCAUUAUAAAAUGGCUAUUUAUAUUAAAUACUUGUGUAUCUUGCUGACGUAUGGUUUAAUGUUAAAGAUGAAUAACUUCUCUAAAGUGAAAGAGAGGAGAUGCUUCUUUCUCUUUUGGGCGCAGAGAACAUAUAUUAAAGAAAGUAAAAACAAAUUAUUUAUUUAAUUAUACCAUUGGAAACAACGUAGACAUAUUGAAAUAUGAUCAAACGGGUGAUGCAAUAACACAUUGGUAGGCUUUAACCGCUCCUACAACAGCAACAACCACAACCACCAGGGCUGCCACACCCUCAAUGAUUGGCUUCCUCCAUAGUUUUUCCCUCAAUGAGCUAAACUUACUAUGAGAUUCACGUCCACACUUAGCUAUAUUACUCCCAUCAGCAUCCGAUUUACUGACUCGAGUUCCUGAUGUGUUUCCCUGAGAACCAAUAUAAGGAGCCACUGCUGUGGGGCUUGUCUUUGGCAUUGUCACGUAUAAAACUCCCUUUGAGAACUUUGCACGAAUCUCAUUUCUGUUGCAACUUUUUUCAACUUUCGUUUCUUUCCUAAACUUGAUUGAUUUGGUUUUGUCCACAGGACAGCUUCCUGUUAUUGUUAGUAUACCGGUGUUGCUAAUUUGUAUUUUAAGAUGCUCUUUCUUCAAACCUAUACAAACACAGUUCCGUUUUUUAUUGAUAGAAAAUUGUAAGCGGUGGCCUAAAGUUUUGUUAGUAGAUUUUAACUGAUUUGGAAAAUGAAACAAAAUCAUGUUUUGCUUGAUUAUUAGUUAUUUAUCUUACCAUUAUCAGGUGCUAUCAGCUUAAUGAUUACAUAUAGUAGUAGAAUCUGUGUUAUUCUUUUAUUGAAUUUUGUUAGAAUUUUAACAAUUGUUUAAUUAAGUUCAUAAUUUUUUUAACAGAUUUGAAAUAUUUUAAAACUUAAAACAUACAUGUAAGGACGCAAUGUUAUGAUACUAUAUUAAUUUUUUACUUAUGUAAACUUACAAUAUAAAUAUUGUUUCUUGUGUUUUUUGCGUGAAUGAGUAAUCAAUUUUUGCAAGUUAGAAGAUCGAUAUUUUUGUAUUAAAAAGUUAUUUAAUUAUGGAAAUACUAUUAUUUCUGUAUUAAAUCAAUUAAUUAUGGUAGUUGAAGAUAUUUUUUUCAAAAAAAAAAUAUUUGUCAUAAACUUACUAAUUGAUGUACCUGAAGGAAGAUGUAGCUCAACUAUGUCGACGUCUUCCGUUCUCCUCCAUCGACAAAAGGGUUCGAUUUCCUCGUAAAAAUGUGUCGGUCCACCUUCCUUAGUUACUGCCAUUAUUUAAAUAUCAAAGAAUGCAACAGAUGCGCAAAAUAUUGCUGAAAUUUGCCUCUUAAUUCUAAUUUUGUCGGGGAAAUAAACGAAGGUUGGUGAUUGUGAGGAUGAUCUAUCUGAUAGCUUCUUAUAUUCUUUGUUCUUUGCAAGGGAUUUGGAUUUCCUCUGCGCUGAAUGAUUCGUUUAUUGGGCAUGAAGGUUUGCUUUAAAUAAUAAUUUAUUUGUAUUCUGAAUUUAUACGUUUGAUUGUAUCUUGGGGCAUUGGUGUUUCUUCACAUGCACAACUAUUUACUUUUUUUUACCAAAAAAAACUAUUUACUCUUUAUCUCUUUUAUUAAUUGGAAAUAAUUGUAUUUCUUACUAUUUUUCUAUAUUGAUUAUUUAAUUAAAUUUCAUAAUAAUUUUAAAAAUAUUAUGAUUUAAUGAUACAUUAAUUUCAUUUUAUGAAGAUUCAAAAUAGGAUGUGUAGUUUUCCAACUUUUUUUGCUUAUAUAAUUAUUUAUUUCUAAUUGACUACCAUUUUACUCUUUUGUGCUAAUAAAUGUAUAAAUUAUAUCUAUACCAUAUAAAAAUGUAAGUUUUAAAUAUUAUAUAAUUUUGUACAUAUAAACUGCUAAUACGUAAUUGUGAAUAUUUUAAUUAUACCAGUAGCUACAUCUUUAUUUGAAUAAAAAAAUAAUUAAUCUAUAUGCAUAAAGCAUAAUGUUCAUUUUGACUUUGUAUUUAGUAAAGACUCACAAUAUAUAAAUGCAUGAUCAUAAUAUAUUUAUUUGGUGCACAUUUGUAUGAAUGACUCUUAUUUAAUUAUUUAAAAUGUAUAUGAUAGUUUUGAAAUUUUGUAUCCAAAUUAUUAUAUGUAACUUAUAUGAUAUAUAAAUUCAUUACAUAGUGUAGAUUUUAAUAUUAAUAUAAAAAUUAAACGAAACUAUUAAUAUAGAGCUGCACAUAGUUUAUAUUAGUUAAGCUUAUUUUCAUUUUGUGAUUAGGCUGUAGUUUUAUAUAUUCAACAAUAAAUUAACCCUUGUAUUUAAGAGAUUGGCUAAUUUAAAACUUAAAAAAAUUCAUGUAAAAUGUAUUUUAUAAAUUUUAUUUUACUGUAACAUAUAUAUUUAUAUGUAAACAAACUAUCUUUUAAAAAUAAUAAUAUGAGAUUAAGUUUGUACGAGGAGUCCGUUAAAAAAAUUUAUGUUCGAAAUCAACAAAAAUAUCACUUAACUUAUCGUAAAAGAGAAAAUAAUUAUAUAAUGUGUACGCCAAAGAGAGUGGAUAUAUAUAUCUUGAGAAAUAUGUAGCUUUGAAAAUUCCAAGAUCAAACGAAAAUAUUAAAUCGCGACAAAUAUAUAAAACUAAAAUAACAUCUUUCAUAUUUUCUGUAAAGUGAAUGGGUUUGUUUCAUAAUAAUAAUUUAAUUUAGUUUAAUUUUUGUACUAUUAGUCUAUUACGCAACUGAUUCCGGCCUCAAGAAUACGAGCAGUUGAUCCGCUAGCCAGUGAAUACAACAACCUUCCAGAUACAAAAUUUCAAACUACACUCACUCUCACAACGUAUGCAUGAAUAUCAUUGCUUCCUUAUUUAAUGCAUGGAUGAGAAUCUACAAGUCAAUGAAACUUCUUUACCAUUUAAUAUCAAAUAAGCUUCCUAAUUUGUCAGUACAUCAAACCAAAAUGAAACUGACUUCUUUUAACUUCAAUUUGUGAAACCAUUUGGCGGAAUCCCUAUAUAUCAACAGCUUUCUCCAUAUCCAGGAUCCAUAUUUGGUAUUCUCUCCAAAUAAGUGUAACUUGAUCCAUUUAACCCACCUUAAUGGCUGCGAGAAAGCUAUUCUCCAAAUCAGUUUGAAACAACAUACUACAUUCACUUUCUUCACAGGUCUUAAUACCAAUCCUCUAUUUUUUAGCUUACACACUUCAUUCCACGCUAUUCUACCUUUCUUAGUUUACAUCAAGACAAAAAAAAGUUUAGAUCAAGACCCAACCAAAAAUGACGUAGAGCAAAUGUUCAUAUAUAUUAUCAAACUAUGUCGAAAUUUGAUAUAUGGGAAAAUGUUCUCUCUCAUGGGAAACUCAGUUUUUCCUGGCUGCCUUCACCAAAUCUAUUGCUCGUAAUAUGAGAGGAUUCCUCUAUAAAAUGUUUUUGUAUCAGCCUUCUUUUUGGGUUUAAUUAGCUCGGCUUUGUGGUGGUUCUGACCAACGGUUUCAUGCAGCUACUUGGCAAAGCUUUUAUAUACCUCUUGUGAUCUUUGAAUUGCUAGAAGACGGUGAUCUAGUGUUGGGAUAACCAAAAUGGUGGUUGCAUAAUGGUUCGGGAGUAUUGGCAUUGGUUCCUUUCUCCUUUCUUUUUCUUUGGUCUUUCUAGGACAAAGCAAGAGUUAUUGGAUCAUUUGUUGUCUUUCGCUUUGGUUGUCGAUGGGGUUUGUGAUUUUGGUAAAGACGGUGCUGGAUCUAUAAACCUUGAUUUUUCAAUUUUUUUUAAGCUUUAGAGGUUUUUGGGUGGUAUGGAUUUUAAGCUUUUUAUUAUUAACUUUUUCAGAGGACUGAAACGGAUUUAAGAAAAUUCUCUUAGGCUCAGAUUUGUAGCCUAGAGUCGGUAACUUUAUUUUUUAGAUCAAUAUUUUUUUGUGCAAUGACGCUAAACUUCUUUCAAGUUGUUGACGAAGCUUUGGCUUUGGUCCAGAUUGCUUGAAUGUCUCUUUGAAUAUUGCCUAAACUUUGUGGUUACUUCUUGGUCAUGUAAUUCGGUGAGGUUGAAUGAUUUCAUGUGGCUUUAGCAUGAGAAUAUUCCUUGUUUUUUUUUAGAGUCAAUUAGCUAAAAAACUACAAAAAGUUGGAAAUUAAGUAAAUACACAUGAUAUGACAAGUUGUGUGCCUAUCAACAAAGAUACUAAGGUGUGAGAUUUAAGGUAUUUAGUUAACUAUGGUUGGAUGCAGAGUUACCGAUUUGGUUUACAGAGUCAAUAUGAAUCUGUAGAUGUUUGAUGUCAAAAAAAAGAUUAAUUAUGAGAAAAGUUGUGUAUAUGGGAUGUAAUUUCACUUUUUUUUGGAUUUGAAAGUCUUAUUGGGUAUUGAUAUAUUUUACUGUAUAUAUAUAAGUAUUUUCUUAUAAAAGGAGUGAAUAUCAAAAGUAUCUUGGUUCACUCUUUGUUAUAUGUUUUUUGUCCAAACUUUUUACAUCAAGUUUUAACUAAUAUAUAUUCUUAGCAAAAAUGGAAGAUUGAGUAAAUGUUUUAUUAUUAUUGUUGAGCUAAAUUUAUUGAAACUCUUAUAAAAUCGUUGAUUAGAACAUUAUAUUUUCAACAAUCAACAUCCCAUGAAUUAUAGUUGAUUAAUUUAACAGAAAACCCAAAAAAUGAGGAAUAGUGACCAAAGAGUUUUUAAAAUGAUCAAGGAGUUGCUUUCCGAAUGAGACUGUGACUUGGUGGCAAAAUAAGAAAGGUUGGGUCGUCUUGCGUGCCAUCCAAAUUAAAAAUACAUUUUAUUGUUCGCCUCAAUCAUAUUUAAAUCACAUUUUCCUAAAAUAAAUUGGUUUAAGAAAGAAAGCAUGUGAUACUGAUUUGGAAAAUUAUGUCACAACUGCUAGAAAGCGGGAUUUUAAUAAAGGCAUGUCAAAAACAAAACAAUUUGGUAAAGGCAACGUCUAGGAAUGUGCAACUAUAAUCUAUUAUUCCGUUCAUAAAUUAGUGGACAAAUAGCCACUCAAUUCGUAAUAUACAUUGAUAUUCGUAGAGAAGGUUGUCGACAUGACAACAUGUGAAGUCUCAAAUAACUGAAAUAAAAAACUUUGAAUAUAUUUUGGCACGGUAAGGUUCAACAAUAAGUUUUUGUUUCAGAUAUUUGAAGGGCUUUAUUAUGUGUCUGAGAUAUCACUUUAGCAUUUUCAUUGUUACAUAAAUAUUAUUUUAUUUUAUUGUCAACGAUUACAUAUUUUAUAUCUUAGCGCAAAAACUUAAGAAUAUAUAUAUGAAAGCUAAAAGAGAUGUAAGAGAGUAAUUCCAGUGAAUUUUCGAAUAAGAAAGUUUAGAUACCCAUGAAAAGCUCCCUUAACACAUAUUUAUUUAUAAAUGCCCUAAUUUAUUUAAAUAAAACUUAAUUAAAUAAGUAGAUUAAAACAAAGUAUUAAUAUUGUGAAAUUAAAAUUCCUUUUAAAAAAACUCUACCAAUGUGAAUGAUUUAAUAAAUCUCAAUUUCCCAAAAAAACGAAUUAGACAAUAGCAAAUGCAAUAUGAAUUAAAAGUGGAGAUAGAAGAUAGUUUAUUGAGCAUUUUUCUAUUCUUAUUGUCACCAGCUUUGGCAUGUGAUCAUAUUUAAAGUUAAAGAUUCACAAACACACACGAAAUACCAACUUUACAUGUUUGAAAAGUAAAAAGGAGACAUAAUAUUUAAACAGUGAAUUCAAAAGAAACCCAAUUGUUAACUGAAAGCAAUUGAAAGUGUGUAAUCCCACUUGUCACAACAGACAAAUUAAUAACAUUGACCAUACGAUGUGUAUCCCACUCGUACACAUCUCCGAAACCCGAAAAUGGUUUCUUUUUAAAGAGAAAUUACUGCAGCCCUUUACCGUGUUUACUCAUCCUUACUGGGUAUCGUAAAAUGUGUAAUUACUUCGUAUAAAAAAAAUCACUAAACAUGCGAGGGGAAACUAUUAUAUAAGUUUUUCAUAUUAUGGUAAACUUGGUGGGGUUUAAGUUUGAUAAUUUGCAAUUAAAAACUUAGAUAUAUAAUUUUUCAAAAAGUUUUCGGUAGGCUUAAUCGAGUGGUGCUUUGAAUUAGUACCAAGAAACAUGCCAAUUGUCAUCCAGGUCAAGGCCAAUUUUCUCUUUGGCUACACAUAUAGUAUUUUAUUACAUUAUAAUAUCAUAUAUGUGUAAAGCAUAGUAUACAGCACAAACAAAAUCAGUGGUGCUCAAUAUUCCCACCGAACUAGCUCGAAUGAAAAUCCUGAAUGGUGAGCUUUUUAAUAAUUUAACUUUUUCUUUUAAGAAAACAGUGUGAUAUUUAAUAAACUAUAGUUUGUCAUAUAGAAAAACAGCAUCUAGUUUAGUGGUUUUGCGAUUGUUAUUUUUAUAGUUGUUGACCUAAUUUAAUUAAAGUUAAAAGUGAUUUAGUGUGAUCAUUAAUAAUCCUAUAUACCUAAUUUUAUGUACGGAUGAUUUGAGAUGAUGUAGAUGUAGAUGUAUAGAACUCGGAAUACAUAUUUUCUACUUAUGACUGAACAUGUGAAUCAUUGUCUGUAAGACUAGCGUCCUUGCAUAUUUCAGAAUUAAACUGAAAAAUCAAUAAUGCCAACUCAUGUACAUGGAUAAGUUUUGUGGCUGCUAUAUGUUUUGUAGACUAAACAUUUAAAGUAUAUGCUUAGAGGUGCAAUCAUUUGGCAUCAUUUGUAUGCUCUUAAUGCUGUAAUUUGCCACAAGAAUAAAUAAAAAGCAUAUGAUAUUAUUAUACAUAUACUUUUUAUUUGACUCUGUAAUUGAUUUUAUAAUUUAAAGCCGCCUCUAAAGGUUGAAACUGGCGUGUAAAGCUAUACAUCCUGCUAGUAGUUUUUGAUGGAAACAAAAAAGAAUGAAAAGUGGAAUUACCCCGCAAUAAUUUUCAUACAACUCCAUCUCCAUGUGCUGCCUUCUAAAGCAACAACACACGAAUAUUCAAUAUAAAUAUGCAUCUCUCUUUGUGUGCAUGUAAAUGUACAUAAAAGUAUUUUCAACGAGAAGAUCGUCAUCGUUCUAUAGUGUGAGUAUGGUGGAUGAUUAAAUUAAAGUGUUGGGUAAAAGAUAAUCUAGUAGAAGAUGGAAUAAUUAGAAGAAUGAUAAAUAAUAAUAGUGUAAGAGAUAUAUAAAGUUAGAUAUGUUGAACAUAGACAUGAUAAGAUGGCUAAAAUUACAGUUUUGGUUUAAAUUUUUCAGCCGAUGUCAAGUCGUGUGGAGUUCCAGUUAGCGUUAAUCGGUUUUGGAUAACCGGUCUCUGGAUCGAGUACCAGUUGUGUCGAGUUUGUGCCUAGUUGUAGCGAUUUUUUUCUUACAACUGAACCUUUUGCUUCAAUACGGAACUGAACCAAACCAAACUUAUAAUUCAAAUUAAUUUGAACUUUUUUAACUCGAACAAACCAGAAAACCAGAUUUCUGAACCGAACCUUUUCUACCCAGUGCACAGACCUAGUACUGAAUGGAAUAGAAGAGUUCCCCACUAUGUAGACAUUUGUCAUUGUAACUAAGUAAGAAGGUUGUCUUGUUGGGAAUAAAAGUGUUUGGUUAUAACUUUUACUUUUCAAUCACACUACAAGAUGACAAACAAAAAGUAAAAUAAGCAUGAAAAAGGCCGAGACGUUUGCGUUAGAGACUAAGGAAUCUUAUUAAUAUGAAAAGGGACCUUUGAAAUCACAUGCCAAUGAGAUGAUAGAUUCUACAAAGAAAAGAUUCGUUUUUCAAAAGAACGAACAAUUAAGUACCUCUUAUAAGCAGGUAGGUUUCCGGUACUUUGUUAAGUUUCUGAACUUUCAACUUAAACCCAAUUUGCGGUAAUCUUAGUGGUCCAAAUCUUUUAUAUUACUUAUGUCUACUGAAACUACGAUACGAAAACUUAUAUUCACAUACUCUUUAGACAUUAGAUUUAUUGUCUAUUAAUCUUUACAUAAUCCCAGUAUACUUCCUUGAGAUAAUGAUUCUUCUAGCCUUGGAUCUCGCAGACCAUCAUCAUCGGGCUUGAAAGCACAAACAACUUUUUGGCCAAAUUAUAAGUGUGUAGAUCGAUUACUAAAUUUAGUAUUUAGGUUUAGGACAUCCGAUAGUAUGUUAAGCUUUUUUGCUUUCAAUUUAAAAUUAAUUAGUAUUAAGUGGAGUUUUUCAAAUCUUUUAUUAUUCAUAUCCUAUUGAAAUUUCGAUGUGAAUCUAUAUUCACACAAUCUUUUAAAAAUUAGAGCUUAUGGUCUAUUAGUCUCUGUGUAAUCCCAAUAAAUUUAAAAUAUUAUCUAAUUAAUUUUUGAUAAAUGGAACUCUCCUUGAUGAUGUGUCUGUUUAAAGAAGGAUUGUUGGAAGAUUACUCUAUCUCACUCAUAACACUAUCAAAUAUUGCAUAUGAUGUCCAUAAAUUCAGUCAAUAUAUGGCGAGUCCAAGGUACUCACAUUUACAAACUGCUAACAUGGUUCUCAAAUCCUUAAAUACAUUGAGUCAAGGACUAUUUGUUUUCUCCACAUCGAAAAACAACCUCACAACGUUCUUUGAUGCUGAUUAGUUAGCUUGUUCGGUACAGAAAGAUAUGUUAUUUGGUAUUGUAUGUUCUUCUAUGAGUCUCUUGUUUUUUGGAGAUCAAAUAAACAACCAACAGUCUUACGAAUCAGUUCUGAAGCUGAA
rnacentral:lncRNA from 1 species